rnacentral:lncRNA from 1 species
CACAACAAAAAAACGCAAGUCUCUCUCUCGAUGGCAAUCAAAUCUUCCGACGAAUCGACGCCGUUUCCGUGAGUUUCCGAUGAAUAGAAGCCGAUUUCGUGGUAUGUGAGACUUACCUGCCGCCGGAAUCAUGAGCUGGAUAGACGGUUAAGACCAUCGGCGAAUGAAGUCAAACCGAAUAGAAGAUUGGCGAUGGAGAAGAAAGAUUCGUUGAAGGAUGGUCCAAUAUCUUGUUCCAGGUAUGAAUCUAGACCCUUUCCUCUGUGUAUCGUGACUUGAUUCGUUUUAUUUUGUGGUUCCCGAUCGAAAUUAGUGUUUGAAGAAAAUUAGGGUUUCGAUUUGUAAGUUAGGGUUCUUCGUUUUUAGCGACAAUUUGUUGUUUAUUAAGCAAUUUGGAGGCUUUUUGUGUUGUAAAUAACCAUGAUUGUUGACGAAUUUGUCAUAGAUUGUUAGACUUAGGGUUCAUAGUUUCGGGAAAAAGGAUGAUUGUUUUUUUUUGUCAUUUGAAUCGAAUUGGAGGCUCUGUUUUACUUAUUAGGCAUGAUUGAGCAAAAAACUGUAAAUAUAUUGUUUGAUUUUGGUAGAUAGUUUCGGAUUUUGCACACUUAGUUUGAGAAUCAUGAAGCAUUCUCGGAUUAAGCUUGAUUUGAGUAUUCAUACAUUAAAUUUGAUAUCUUUAUCUCUGUUUUGAAUCAUUAAAAUCAGUCUAUUAGUGCAUAUAUCUGUUAAGUUUCAUUAGAUACAUUUGUGAGUUGAUUAUUAUUGUCUUUGCUAAUUGUUUUUUCUUUCUCUCUGUUUUUGUUGAGUUUCAAUGGGAAAACUGAAAGUUUAGAAGGCUAUUGGAGAAGGUAAGUGGAGAUGGGAAGGAUCAUGUGGUCGUUAAGGAGAAACUGCAAAAGCAGUAGGCUUCUGAGAUUUUAUUAAAGGUAAAUGUUCCAUAUUUAGUUAUUGAAAUGAUUGUUUGUUUGAUAGCAUGCAUUUUCUGAUAAAUGCUUGAGUUGAUUGUGUAUAGUGUUAAGUAGAGAGUAAGUAAACUUAACAUCAUAGUUAUUGUUUGUGUGUGAUAAAUGCUUGAAUGCUUUAACAUCAGAGAGAGAAACUGAACAUCGUAGUUGCAUAAAUGCUUUGUGUCUUUAGUUUCGUUACCAUCCAAUUGAUUUCUUAAAGUAAACUGAACAUCAUUGUUUCAAUGCAUGCUAUGUUAUGUGUUUAAAUGCCAUUGUAGAGAGUAAAUAAUUAGCAUAAUAGAGUGUAUAUUCUCUAUUUUCUUUUGGAUUACAGAUUUUAAAAAUUCUGUAAAAAAGCUAGUAUGUUGAUUGGUUAAAUUCUGUGUAGUAAAUUCUUAGUUGGUUUAUGUUAGGUAAAGACUUUAGUUUCUUUAGUGUCAUUGAUUGCUAACACUAAAUACACUUUCACCUUCUUUAAAUUGCUAACAUUAACACAAACCACUAACCAAAAAUUGAUUCUGCUUCUCGUCCUUCUCCUUUAACCACAAACCUCAAACCACUUCAGUCUUCUCUUCCUUCUCCUUUAACCACAAACCACAAACACAGCCACUACCAAAUGGAUGAUAGUGGUCUGCCAUCUGGUUUCAUGGAUCUCUUGCAUAGUCAACAAGAAGGCAGUGAAGUCCCUCUUUAUAGCACACAAUGGUCUGAUGAAGGCAGUGAAGGCGAAGCCACACCCACAGCCACACCUAAGGUGGGUGUCUCUAGAAAGAAAUGGAAACCAAAAGAGGAUAUUGUCCUCAUAAGUGCUUGGCUAAAUACCAGCAAGGAUCCUGUGGUAGGAAAUGAUCAAAAAGGUGGAUCAUUCUGGAAAAGGAUUGCAGCCUAUGUCGCUUGUAGCCCGCAGCUUGAAGGUUUCCCAAAGAGAGAGUGGGCUCAGUGUAAGCAAAGGUGGGGCAAGAUCAAUGAAAUCGUCAAUAAGUUUGUGGGGUGUUAUGCGGCAGCAACAACUCAAAAAGCUAGUGGGCAGAGUGAGGAUGAUGUAAUGAAGAUGGCACACCAACUAUACUUCAAUGAUAAGCAGAAAAAGUUCACAUUGGAUCAUGCUUGGAGAGAGCUAAGGUAUGACCAGAAAUGGUGUGGAGCACCAUCUACUGAGAGUUCAAAAAGAAGAAAGGGUGUGAAUGGUGCUGCUCAUCCAACAAAUUCCCAGCCAAUGAGUGUUGACGAUGGUGAAAGAAUGAGAAGGCCUCCUGGUGUGAAGGCAGCAAAAGCCCAAGGAAAAAAGACUGCCACUGUAAAAGUAGAACAAGAACAAGUUCUGAACACAUUUCAGAGUAUGUGGGAAAUUAGGCAGAAGGACUUUGCUUUGCAGAGAGAGCAUGAUAAGGCGAAGCUGCUUGAGAGUCUUCUUGGAAAAACAGAGCUUUCUGACACAGAAAUUGCUCUCAAGAACAAGUUAAUUAAUGAAAUGUUGUCUUAGAUUUUAGGUUUGUUUCCUAGUUGUUUAUGUUUGAUAUUUUCUUGUAAGUUUUUCAUGAUUCAUGUUUGUAAUAGCAUGAUUAAAUGUCUCGGCUAAUGUAUGGUUGUGUUUCUAUUAAUGUUUGAAGAAUUAUGAUUGUGUUUGGUCUUUUUAUUGUAAACGUUUGUGUUUGGUUUGAGCAUUGAUUCUGUUUUUGCAUUUUAUUACAACAGUUUGUGUUUACUCUGAGAAUUGCUUUUGCUUUUUAUUACAACAGUUUUGUGUUUGGUCUGAAAUUGAUUCUUCUUUUUAUUACAACAAUUUGUACUUUUUAUUGUUCUUUGUCUAACUUGCAUUAUAUUGUUCUGUUUUGCAUAUGCUUUUGGCUGGGGAGGUCACAAGUUCAAUAGCUUUUACAAAAAGCUGAAAAGAAGACACAGAAGCCACCACCACAACUAAGUCACAAGUUCAAUACGAGAGAAGACAAAGAAGCCACCACCACAUAUUGAUGUGUGUAUGACUCAUGUAGUUUUGUAUUUAUGUGUAGACACCACGAGACUAUGAAUUUGUAUUUGUGAUUGUGAACCACAUAAUUGUUCUUCUCUUAUUUGUGAUUGUGAACCAACAUUGCUAUAUAUUAGAAGACAAUGCUUAUUAUUUCACCACCAAACGAUUGUUCUUCUUAUUGUUCUUCUUCUUCUAUUAUUACAACAAAACCACAAAACACUUGCCUUCUUCUUAUUAUUAUUCUUCUUAUAUUAUUACAACACAAACAACAACCGUUGUUCUUCUUCUAUUAUUAGAACACAAAACCAUUGUUCUUUUAUUCGUACACCAUAUUUCCAAUUUCUUUUCAAAAAAUCUCCUAAAAAAUUUCUUUUUUUUAAGACAACAAACAAUCAUAUCAAAUGGCAUCUUCUUCCCGUAAUAUGCUCGGCGAUACAAUGAAUGAAUAUUUUAAUGAUUUUGUCAAUCAAACCUUCGAGAAUCAAUUCGUUGAUUAUGGUGAUCAGCAAGAGGGUACCAAGAAAAAAAAAAAGAAACGAGCCUAUAUUGAAAGACAACGUGAAGAAGGACACAACCGCUUAUGGAACGACUAUUUUAGUGAAAAUGCGAUAUUCCCACCUCAAAUAUUUCGACGCCGUUUUCGAAUGAACAAGCCAUUGUUCUUGCGUAUUGUCGAUCGACUAUCCAGUGAAAUUCAAUUCUUUCAACAUCGAAGAGAUGCUACCGGAAGGUUCGGGCACUCUCCAAUACAAAAAUAUACGGCAGCGAUUCGUUUGCUUGCAUAUGGUUGUGUGGCUGAUGCGCUUGACGAAUAUCUCCGAAUCGGUGAAACUACUGCGAUUUCAUGCAUGGAAAAUUUUACUGAUGGAAUCAUUUCUUUGUUCGGAGAUGAAUAUCUAAGAGCACCUACAGUAGCAGAUUUGGAAAGACUACUCCAUAUUGGGGAGAGUCGAGGAUUUCCCGGGAUGAUAGGAAGCAUCGACUGUAUGCAUUGGGAGUGGAAGAAUUGCCCAACAUCUUGGAAAGGCCAGUAUACGCGUGGCUCUGGUAAACCAACCAUCGUUUUAGAGGCGGUCGCAUCACAAGAUCUCUGGAUAUGGCACGCAUUUUUUGGACCUCCAGGUACCUUAAACGAUAUCAAUAUUCUUGAUCGAUCACCCGUUUUUGAUGAUAUUUUACAAGGCCGAGCUCCGAAUGUGAAUUACGUAGUCAACGGACGGGAGUAUCAUCUAGCAUACUAUCUCACAGAUGGUAUUUAUCCAAAAUGGGCUACUUUUAUCCAAUCUAUUCGAAUUCCACAAGGUCGGAAAUCAUCUUUAUUUGCUACAAAACAAGAAGCAGUCCGUAAAGAUGUCGAGCGUGCAUUUGGAGUAUUGCAAGCUCGGUUUCACAUUAUUAAAAACCCAGCUCUUGUUUGGGAUAAGGAAAAAAUAGGAAAGAUAAUGAGAGCAUGUAUCAUACUGCACAAUAUGAUAGUAGAGGACGAGAGAGAUGGUUACACUCUGUUUGAUAUUUUGGAAUUCACACAAGAUGAAGCAAACCAAACUUCUCAAGUCGAUUUAGCGUAUUCUACAGAGAUGCCUACAAAUCUCGGGAAUAUAAUGGGCAGACGAAAUCAAGUUCGUGAUCGUGAAAUGCAUCAACAAUUAAAAGCUGACUUGGUUGAGCAUAUCUGGCAAAAAUUUCGCAACAGUCAAGAGUAAAAAUAAUCGUUAUUCCAUGUUUUUUUUUCAUAUCUUUAAAAAUGUUUGAAAUAAUGUAUGUUUAAUAUUUUUAUGAAUUGUAAUAAUUAUUAAGUUUUAUGAAAUAAUAUUUUUAUUUUUUUUUCCUAAGAGAACCUCAUUAGAGAACCUACCAUUGGAGUAUGAAAAAAAAAAAAAAAUACACAAGUUCUCAUCUCAAAUUUUCAACAAAUUUAUAAUUAAAAAAUUGAGAGAGCUCCAUGGAAACAACUCCCCAUUGGAGAUACUCUUACGUGCUCCACUUUGAGGCCAGCUCAUGGCUCCCAAGUGAUGAACAGAGAGACAGAUAAAGAUUGCGUAAGGUAUGCUGCAUCGUUUUUCUAACUCGACCCUACCUUCGUAUUAUUAUCCAAUGGCAGCGAUUAACCUCUUGCGUCCACGGUGUUUUUAACAUUUAUUUAUUUUUAGUUUAAUAAAUUGUGGGAGGCAUUGCCUCUCUCCUACCAAAAAAAAAAAAUCAACUGAAUAUUUUACCCUUGUCCCAUAUAUACCGACUAUACAAAAAUGUCACACACCCACAAUAUAUAAUAUACCGACUACAAAUUAUGGAGUAUCUCGUUUCAGUUUUUUUUUUCUUUUUACAACUUCAAAGUUAAUUUUGUUAUUUAUCUACUACAGUAUUAGCACUUUUACGUAUAUAUUAGUAGUGUAAUUUUUAUACUUUUAUUUUGAUAAAAAUGGCUUCGAAUAAAUAUACAUCUAAGUUAAUUAUUCAUUUAUGAAUUAAAAAGAAUAAAGUGAAUACUUUAACGUUUUAUACUUUGUUCGCAAAACCUUUUUUUAAUUUCAUAAAUGCAAACCGUUAUUUCUAUCAAUUAUUACUAUUCAAGUUCAAGUAUUUCUCUUAUUUUUUCUGACAUAUCCAUCAAAGUAGAAAAGGUUUAUGAGAUAAUGUGCCCACAGUACUAACUCUCAUGUUGAUGGCGUGAUCAGUUACGUUGAAAGGAAUUCUAAGAAGUUAUAGAAUCUUCUAAAAAAAAGGAAACAAAUAAAUAAAUACGAUCAGUUUAAUUUUUCCUUUGCACUGAUUUAUACAUUUCCAUAAAGAUAACAAAAAAAUAUUUUUUACUUUUUCGGUUCAAAAAUGGCAACAACAUAAUGUUCCAGUUCACGUUUUGAGAAAAAUCCAAUAAAAACAGAUUAGGUAACAAAAUCGAAAACGUUUUGAAAAGUAAAGUAAAAAAAUAAAAAUUGAUAUGAAAAAAAUAAAUCUGCCUCUCUGGAUUCUGGAAUAUGAUAGGUGAGGUUAAUAAUAAGCUCACUGUUUUGGCUUUGACCCCACAGAAUCUGUAUUUUAUUUUGUAAAACCAAAUACCUUUAUUUAAUUUUAAAUCCUAACAUUAAUUAAUUAAUUUAUAUACAUUCCCCAGCUAUUUUCCAGGCUGUGUUUCCUCUCCCAAUUCUUUCCAUUUUUAUACCUUUGUUCUUCUUCUUCUUCACUCAUAUCUUUCUUCCUUCAACCUAAAAACCUGAGUGAUUUGCUUAUUAGCCUUCUUUCAAUCUUAAAACGUUGUAUCCAAAUCUUAAACUCAAUGGAUCCGUGCUCUUUCGUACGGAUCAUCGUCGGUAACUUGGCCGUUAGGUUUCAGUCAUCGUCUUCUUCCUCAUCAGGACCGUCUGUUUCCGGUAUCAAUCCGUCGGCUCCUAACUGUUACUGCAAAAUCAGAUUCAAGAAUUUUCCUCGCGAGAUUGUUUCUAUUCCGGUUAUGUUUCGAACUGAAUCUGAAUCCGAGACUCGUUCUUCCUCCGGUAACGUCUCUACCGUCGCUGCUUGUUUCAGUUUAAGUAAAGCUCAGAUCGAAGCGUCUUUGAAGAAACCUAAGUUGAGUGUUCUCUCCGUUGAGGCUUUUUCCCGCGGAAACUGCGACGGUGACGACGGUGUUAGCGGCGCGUCGUGUGGACUCGCUACGGCGGGGGAGAAGUUGCUUGGUCGAUUUGAGGUUUCGUUGGAUUUGAAAUCGGCGGAGACGAAGAGUUGUUUGGCGCAUAACGGUUGGGUUGCUUUGCCGUCUAAGAAAUCGAAGAGUAAAUCUGGAUCCGAUCCGGAGCUCCACGUUAGUGUUCGGGUCGAACCUGACCCGAGAUUCGUGUUUCAGUUUGACGGCGAGCCUGAGUGUAGUCCUCAGGUUUUUCAGGUUCAAGGAAACACGAAGCAAGCCGUGUUCACUUGCAAGUUCGGCUCCAGAAACUCCAACUCCGGUGAUCGGAAUCUUCUUCACAGGUCAGUUAAUUCUUCAUCUUCACUGGAAUAAUCCAGAAAUAGGAACAUUGCCUUUUUCAGAUAGAUUCAUUACUUGCUAAUUUAGCAAAGAGAUGCGAAUUUAGAAAUAUGUAAUUUCAUGCUUAGUUUAGUGAUUGAGAUUUGUUGGGAUCGUGUAUUGAUUUUGUGGUUUAAAUUUUGCAGUUCUUCGAUGAUGUCUGAGUCAAGCUCAACGAGAAGUUGUAUAUCGUCGAUGAAUUCGGAAAAAGAACAACCGUCAAAAGAGAGAAAAGGAUGGUCAAUAACAGUCCAUGAUCUUUCCGGUUCACCCGUGGCUAUGGCCUCUAUGGUUACACCUUUCGUUCCAUCUCCUGGUUCGAACCGGGUCACUCGAUCAAGUCCCGGAGCGUGGCUUAUUCUUCGACCUGACGGUUGCACAUGGAAGCCAUGGGGAAGACUAGAGGCGUGGCGUGAAGCUGGUUACUCCGACACACUCGGUUACCGUUUCGAGCUUUUCCAAGACGGUAUCGCCACAGCCGUCUCCGCAUCUUCGUCUAUCAGUUUGAAAAAUGGAGGGAGUUUCGUUAUCGAUGUUACCGGCGGGACAACCACGACGGCGUCAACGCCGACGACGAGUCCUCAAGGAAGCUGGGAUCUCGGAUCCGGUUCAAGCGCGGAUUCGAGACCCGCGUCGAGACCAGGAUCAGGAUCCGGGUCGGAUUUCGGAUAUUUACUACCGCAACAUCCGUCGUCUGCGGCGGCGCAAAACAGAGGGUUCGUUAUGUCGGCUACGGUUGAAGGAGUUGGGAAACGAAGCAAACCGGAAGUAGAAGUCGGUGUGACGCACGUGACAUGUACGGAGGAUGCAGCAGCGCACGUGGCAUUAGCUGCGGCGGUCGAUCUGAGUUUGGAUGCUUGCAGGCUUUUCUCACACAAGCUAAGGAAAGAGCUGAGACAGCAAAGCCAGCUUGGUGUCGUUUGACUUGUUUCGUUUGUCGUUUUACCAAUUCGUGAGUUGUCUUCCAUUCACAUUUUUUUUUUUUUUUUUAAUUUUCUAUUUUCUCUUUUAAGAGAUAGCGUUAGGAAUUAGCCAGCCAAUUUUUUGAGAGGUGGAUGUCAUCAUUAUUAAAAAUUGUUAAUAUCUUUCUCUGUACAGCUAAGAAAUGACAGUAACAACUAACAAACAACUCAUUAUCUCUUUUAAUUUGCCUCAUUAACAAGACACAAGACAUGAAAUUAUUUUUAAUUAGUAUGGGUUUUGACCAAUGUAAUUACCAGGAGGAUCAUAGUUGCAUGUAAUAAAAGUGCCACCACUGUUACACACAACUUUAGCACAUCCCAAUCUAACUGUGUUUUUCCAAACAACUUGCGUGUAAUGUAGACACGUGCCACCGUUUGGAUCAUUACACGUGUUACUAUUGUAAUCGUAGUACUGUUUCUCGUUGAUCCACAUUUCUGCAGCAUCUUCAGCCGGCAUAUCUCCACUACUCAUAGCUAUGUUCUCUCCAAAUGGUCCGUUCGAAUGGACUAAUGCACAAUCAUUGAUCCUCUGGUUUGCAUAGCUGGCGGCAUAAGCAGCGACCUCAUCGUCCCAAACCAAUGGGUCAAGCCCAACCUCGUUUCGGGCUUCGUUGUGGGCCUCUAAGAAUUCUUGUUGCAAAUCUUCGGCUAAAGAGCCAUACAAAAGAGCAAUUGCUAAGAGAAAUAAAAUGUUGGUUUUGAGUAGAGACAUUGUUUUACGUAUUCGUGGUGAAGCUUAAGAGUUAAUUUGAGUAUUUAUAUUUCAAAAUUUAGAAUAGUUAACAACUUUGGAUGGGCUGUCAAAAAAAAAAAAAAAACUUUGGAUUGUAACAAAAAACAAAUUCUGUUAUUUGUUUACCAAAAUUAAAAGAGGAUCAUAUUUACAUACUGUCCAUAUUAAAAAGACAACUAGUCAAACGUUACAUUCUAUUCUUUGUAUUCAUUGGAUUUUGCUAUAUUUGGAUUUCGAAUAUUUUGUACACGUCUCUCUUGAUAACGAUUUAACUUUGAAAUCUUCUAAGUUUUGAAAAAGUUUAAAAUCUAAUAUUCUGUUAGAUAAUCACUAAUCAGUAUUAGUUUCGUCUGUAAUGUAUCCAACAGAUAUGAUUCAAGUAACUAAGGAAAUAAUUAAGGAGACUGAUUCAAGUUGUACUAAGGAAAUAAUUAAUCACUAAUCAUUACUUUUGAGUUUUGAUUUUUGACAGUCACUUUGCCUUCCAUACGUUAUAUAUCGGGCUUUUUCUAAUAAUACAGAGCCCAAGACAAUCAUUGGCCCUUAUGUUGUUUCUUCUACAAUGGCCAUUUUAUUACUUUAUUUAGGUUCUAUAAUCUAUACUGUUGUAUUUCAAUGUUCACAGAAACAAAAUUAUUUGAAGUAGAUGUAAACGGAUUGGUGCAUGAAUGAAUGUAAUAAAAUCCAUAAAAGGCAAUAACAUUAAAGAAAAGAAAAAAGAAAAAAAAAAAAAAAAUAGUUGUCAAUUUUCAAAAUUUGUCGUACCGCCUACCCAAUUUUGUUUCUUCACUUCCGUUUACCAACAACAACGACGAGACACCACCGCUUUGUUUAUCCUUCCGAAGUAGAGAACAAUGAUGUUCCGGCGAUUAUUUAUCGUUCGCCUUCUCUUUUUAAUUCCACUGGCUUCAUCCAGAUCCAACCAUAGUCAAGAAGUAGAUACUCUUCUCAAACUGAAAUCCACCUUUGGAGAAACAAUAUCCGGCGACGUCUUCAAGACCUGGACUCACCGGAACUCGGCAUGCGAAUUCUCCGGAAUCGUAUGCAAUUCCGACGGAAACGUCACCGAGAUCAAUCUUGGAAGUCAGAGUUUGAUCAAUUGCGACGGCGACGGUAAAAUUACAGAUCUUCCUUUCGAUUUAAUCUGUGAUUUGAAGUUUUUGGAGAAGCUUGUUCUAGGAAACAACUCCUUGAGCGGCCGGAUUAGUAAGAAUCUCAGGGAAUGUAAUCACCUGAGAUACUUAGACCUCGGCACCAACAAUUUCUCUGGUGAGUUUCCGGCGAUUGAUUCAUUACGAUUGCUCAAGUUUUUGAGCUUAAACGGUUCUGGAAUCUCUGGAAUAUUCCCAUGGAGUUCUCUAAAAAACCUCAAGAGAUUAAGUUUCUUAAGUGUUGGAGAUAACCGAUUCGAUCUGCAUCCAUUUCCUAAAGAGAUUCUAAAUCUCACUGCCUUGAAAAGGGUUUUUCUGAGUAAUAGCAGCAUCACCGGUAAGAUUCCAGAGGGAAUCAAGAACCUUGUUCAUCUACGAAACCUUGAGCUCUCUGAUAAUCAAAUCUCUGGUGAAAUUCCAAAGGGGAUAGUUCAUCUCAGAAACCUAAGGCAGCUUGAGAUUUACAACAAUUACUUGACUGGUAAGUUACCAUUCGGGUUUCGGAAUUUGACGAAUUUGUGGAAUUUCGACGCCUCUAACAACUCCUUAGAAGGUGAUUUGUCAGAGCUGAGGUUCUUAAAGAAUCUUGUUUCUCUUGGAUUGUUCGAAAACCUAUUGACCGGUGAGAUUCCAAAAGAGUUUGGAGAUUUCAAGAGUUUAGCUGCUUUGUCUCUUUACAGAAACCAACUUACUGGGAAGCUUCCGAACAGACUCGGAUCUUGGACCGGUUUUAGAUACAUCGACGUGUCUGAGAACUUCUUGGAAGGUCAGAUUCCUCCUGAUAUGUGCAAGAAAGGCGCAAUGACGCAUCUUCUGAUGUUGCAGAACAGAUUCAUAGGACAAUUUCCAGAGAGCUAUGCUAAAUGCAAGACUCUGAUUCGUCUUCGUGUGAGUAACAACUUUCUCUCUGGUGUGAUUCCUUCAGGGAUUUGGGGGCUUCCUAAUCUCCAGUUUCUUGAUCUUGCUUCAAACCGUUUUGAAGGAAACCUCACUGAUGAUAUUGGCAAUGCCAAGUCUCUUGGCUCUUUGGAUUUAAGCAACAAUCGAUUUUCAGGUUCUCUACCGUUUCAGAUCUCAGGAGCUAACUCGUUAGUGUCGGUUAAUCUUCGCAUGAAUAAGUUCUCCGGGAUAGUUUCUGACUCUUUUGGUAAGCUUAAGGAGCUUUCAAGUCUCUAUCUUGAUCAGAAUAAUCUAUCAGGUGCUAUACCAAAGUCACUAGGCUUAUGCACAUUUUUGGUGUUUCUAAACCUUGCUGGAAACUCACUCUCUGAAGAAAUCCCGGAAAGUUUAGGAUCUUUACAGUUAUUGAAUUCUCUGAAUCUGUCAGGAAACAAACUGUCAGGAAUGAUUCCUGUUGGUUUAUCGGCUCUGAAGCUAAGCUUACUUGACUUAUCCAACAACCAGCUAACUGGUUCUGUUCCUGAAUCUCUCGAAAGUGGAAACUUUGAAGGAAAUUCAGGGCUAUGCAGCUCAAAGAUCGCAUAUCUUCAUCCAUGUCCGCUUGGAAAACCUCGCAGCCAAGGGAAGAGGAAAAGUUUUUCUAAGUUCAACAUUUGUUUAAUCGUUGCAGCGGUACUUGCUCUGUUUUUAUUAUUCAGUUACGUGAUCUUCAAGAUAAGACGGGAUAGGUCGAAUCAAACGGCUCAGAAGAAGAACAAUUGGCAAGUGAGCUCUUUUCGGUUACUUAACUUUAACGAAAUGGAAAUUAUUGAUGAGAUCAAGUCAGAGAAUCUCAUAGGCAGAGGCGGUCAAGGGAAUGUUUACAAAGUAACUCUAAGAAGCGGUGAAACACUAGCCGUUAAACACAUCUGGUGUCAGUGUCAGGAUAGUCCCUGCGAAAGCUUUAGAAGCUCGACGGCAAUGUUAAGUGACGGCAACAACAGAAGUAAGAGCCGGGAAUUUGAGGCAGAAGUCGGGACGCUAAGCAAUUUAAAACAUAUAAACGUUGUGAAGUUGUUCUGCAGCAUAACGUGUGAGGAUAGUAUGCUGCUUGUAUAUGAGUAUAUGCCUAAUGGAAGCUUGUGGGAGCAGCUGCAUGAGCGUCGUGGUGAGCAAGAGAUUGGGUGGCGUGUGAGACAAGCAUUAGCUUUAGGAGUUGCUAAAGGGCUGGAGUAUUUGCACCAUGGGUUAGAUCGGCCGGUGAUACAUCGGGACGUGAAGUCCAGCAAUAUAUUGCUUGAUGAGGAGUGGAGACCGAGGAUUGCUGAUUUUGGAUUGGCUAAAAUCAUUCAGCCUGAUUGGGUUCAACGAGAUUCCUCGGCUCCUCUUGUUGAAGGAACUCUUGGUUACAUUGCCCCCGGUAAGUCGAAUCUUCAAGUUUUGUUUGUUUUGUUCUGAAUAGCCAUAUGACCUUAGGUCAACUUAUCUUUAGCUGUCUUGCUUAUCAAGCUUCAAAUUCCAUUCAUUUCAAUAUACAGUUAUAUAACCUGUAAUUUGCAUAUCAUUUCGUUGUUGUUCACAGAAUACGCGUAUACCACCAAAGUGAACGAGAAGAGUGAUGUGUACAGCUUCGGGGUGGUGUUAAUGGAGUUGGUAACAGGGAAGAAGCCGGUGGAGACAGAGUUCAGCGAGAACAGUGACAUAGUCAUGUGGGUUUGGAGCAUAAGCAAGGAGAUGAACAGAGAAAUGAUGAUGGAAUUAGUCGAUCCGAGUAUAGAAGAUGAAUACAAGGAGGAUGCUCUUAAAGUUUUGACCAUUGCUUUAUUAUGCACGGACAAGUCUCCUCAGGCUAGACCGUUUAUGAAAUCAGUGGUUAGUAUGCUAGAGAAAAUAGAGCCUUCCUACAAGAACAAUGGAGAAGCAAGUUACGAUGAGAGUGCUAAUGAUGAGAUUGCUAAAGUUGUAUAACUCAUAUUAUUAAUCGAGCUAAGGCUCAAGAAUAUUAAAUUCUUGAUUGGUUUUAUAAUUAUACAAAAUUCUUAAGAGAAAGAUUCUACGACCAGUUUUGUAUCAUCUACGUGGACAAAAAAACAGUAGUUUUAAAUAGUUAAACACGGUUUUUAACUAUAACAAGAUGAAUUUAGAUAAUUAUUGAAAUAUUAAUUUUCAAGAGACAAGAAGAUAUAAGCAAAAAGAUGAAGCAAACCGUAGUUAUUAAAUAACUUACAGACCAACUUUUAGAAAAUACAUUGCAACGACAUGACAUGCAUGCUCAUGAUGACAAACACAAAGAUCAGAGACAUCUUCAGAUGUUUCUUACAUAAGUUUUGUAUACACACACAUAUAUAAGGGAUUGGGUUUCAAGUUACAGUUUCAAGAUUCAACCCUGGUGGUAACGGUCAAUCUCCACCGUCCAUCCCUUGGUAUCCUCGACCCGACCCGUCUGGAUAUCAUUUAACGUCUUGUAUAGCUUCGCAGCCAAUGUUUCUUCUCCUGUUUUGAAUGCAGUCCUGUAUUGAGUUUAUACACUCAAUUGUUUCAGUCAACUUUACUUAUGAAAAAGAAAAUCAUCAAAAUCAUCAAGAAAAUCAUUUUGGAUUAACAAACGGAAGAUAAUAUUACUUUUUGUCUUUGAAGGUUACGGAUGCAAUACUAGUCACAAUUGAAGCAGUCCCAGUGCAGAAAGUUUCGUCCGAAUCGAGAAAGUCCUCUAGAGGAAUCACACGUUCCUCAACCUUUUACAACGAGAAAAACAAAGGAAAUUAUUAUACAUGCAUGCAUGGUGAAUAUUAUUAGUAAGGAGAUAGUUUCGCAAAUUACAAGAUCAACUUGAAUCAAAUAUAUAUCCUCAUAUAUAUAUAUGAUAUUGAAAUAUUCCAACCUGGUAGCCGAAAUCACGACAUAAUUCCAUUACACAGUUUCGUGUGACUCCGGGCAAAAUAGUUCCUGCAAUUGUUGGUGUCGAUACAACAUUUCCCUUAUACAAAAAUAUCACAACUGAUCUUAAUAUUCUAUAAAUCACAACAUUUCCAUAUAUUUGUAUAUUCAAUUUUUACCUUGAGCAUGAAAAUGUUUGCUGCGAAAAGUUCUUCCACGUUUUUGCCAGUUGCAGCAUCCAAAAACAAAAUAUCAGAGAAACCUUGUUUUUUCGCCUCUGCCAAUGGUAUCCAAACCUUCAACAAGAAAAUUUUCCAUUACAAUCAUUUACAGAAUCCAAAACAGUCGUGUAAUUAUGAAAAUUUGAUGUAUAUUCUUAAAACUUACAGGAGAAUAAUUCGUGAUGCUCUUCACACCACCAGUUCCACUAGGAAAAGCUCGACGAAACUUAUCUUCGAUUUUCAGAUUCAAACCAGAGUUAUCCUAUACCAUAAAGAAUCCGAAAAUUAAUAAUCAAAUUCAACAUGACAAGUUUCAUUAUUUUUAAUUUAAAACCAACUCUCAAUAAGUGAAGUGAUAUAUGUAAAUUUAUAUAUAUAUAUAUAUAUAUAUAUAUUACUUUAGAUCCCUUAUAUAAUUUCAUAUGCGAAUAAUGUUUAGAAAAAGAAAAAAAAUUCGACAAGAACACAUGACUCACCUUAUGAUAACGUCCAACAGGACAAGCAAAAGCUGUGAAGGUGGUCUCAGGAAUAGGAAAUGAACCAAGAAUCGGACCACUCCCAAACAAGAUAGGCCUAAUAUACAAUGUUCCUUUCCCCGGAGGAGGAAUCUACGUAUAUACGAAAACUCCAUUAUAUCUUUCAUUUUAUGAGGUUUUUUUUUUCUUUUCUUAUGGAAUAUUAAUUAACAUAAUUAAAAUAUAUAUUACCCAUUUCUUGUUGGCAAGAGCAACUUGUUUGAUGGCGGAGACGAAUUGAUCGACCGAAGGAUAAGGCAUAUAGAGUCUGUCGGCUCCGGCUUGAAUACGGAGACCGUUUUGGUCUGGUCGGAAUAGCAGAAUCCGACCAUCUUCUGUCCUGUAAGCCUUCAGUCCUUCAUAUAAACCCUAAUCAUACCCAAACCACCAUUAUUUCAGUUAAUUAGGAUCAAACGAUUACUAAAGAAUUUUAGCGAAACUAGGUCAAAUUAAAUUAAUUGAUAGGAAUAGCAAUAUAUACUUUCAAACUAUUUCGGUUAGUUGAUAUACAUUAAUACGUAUAUGUAUAACUCUUUCAUUUUUGAAUAGUUUAAUAUAUAGCUCAAACAGGUAUAUAUGGUAAUAAUUAGCUCAAUCAUCAUCUUAUUAUCAGUGAAAGCUAUUCAUGUGUUAUUAGUUUUAAGUUUCAUCUAAUAAGAAUCUAUAUACAUUCUAUUAAGUCAUAACAAACCUGGCCAUACUGAAGAACAGCAGCGCAAGGGUUAAGUUGCAAAUCAGCAAAAGGAAGAAUCUUUCCCUCUUGAAAACUCUCACCAUGAUUGCACUUCGCAACGUACAUAUAAUCCGUACGAACAAACCCGAAUGCCAACUCUUCCCACUUGACAUUAGCAUACUUUUCAUCCGAAACACUGUAAAGUUUGAUAAAAUAAAAUACAAAAAUCAUCGUCAAUCUUAGUUCAUACUAUCAGAUUUAAACAAGUAAAUGCGAGAUUAUUAUACUUUUCUUUAAAGAUAAAAUUUUCUAUUUUAUUUUCUUCGAUGAUAUAGAAAGAUUUUACCUUGUAGGAAGAGGUUGCGUAGAAGGAGCCAUGGAUGUGCUUGUUUGAGUCGAGUUGCUUUGUUAUAAGAAACUUGAGUUGUCUAUAAAAGCUUUGGACUGCUUCUCUUUAUAUAUACGCUUACAACAAUUUCUUCAUAUAAUAAUAAUAAUCAUAAAACGAAAAUAAAUCGAAUCUCUUUAAUCCAUUUCUUAAAAAAAAAAAAUUAGCUUGUUUUACUUCAAGUCACGUGUGUAUUAGUAUGUAUCAUCAUCUAUUGUUGCUUUUAAUUUUUUGAUAUUACGAUUAUAUGUUAUUAUACAUACUUAUUAAUCAAAAAGUUACUUGGUGGAAGUAAAAAGACAAAAGAAAAAAGUUACUCAGUGAUCAGUUUUACGUUUAUUCAAGAGUGUAGUUUCUUAUUUUUUCUCAAGUUAUAUGACUAAAAAUUGGUCGGUUAAUUUACUUUCUUUUAUCAAAACGAAUAAGCUGAACUCUAGUUAGAUCACAAGAUAAUCAUCACGUGGAGAAACAUUUGGUUCUCGUCACGUGGAGAAAACGUCAAGCUUAUUUUACUUUUUUUUUUUUAUUCUUUUGAGUAAAUGGCUGAAAGAGAGAUAGUGUUUAAAAUGUGAAUGCGCUCGUAGUUAGGUGGAGGUUAAUGGGUAGGAGGGUAGGUCAAAUGUAUAUUAGUGAUGGAUAAGAAUUUAAAACAUAGUAUAUAACUUCAAGCUGUAAAUAAUCUAUUAAUUAAAGAAACAUAAAAAUAUAAUCAAGAACCAUAUACUAAAUACACUUUCGAUUCAAAAAGCUUUUUUUCUACUCAGAAUGUUUGGGGCAGAUUACCCGUCAAGAUACAACGAAGCAAUAGUGAAUAUAUAUUUUUUUCAUAUCCAUGUAGUUUUAAAAAUACAUGUAGUUAAAAAUGCAUGAUGAUACGACUGUUCUACACAACUUAAAUUUGCAAACAUUGGACCAAAAAGCGAACACUUAAUUACUUGAAACGACAACGUUCUUUGAUAUUUUUUUGGACAUCCAAAAGUUGCAACACAUGAGAUUGUUUCUUAACCUAAUAAUAUUAAGCAAUAUUGAACUUGUCACUGCUGCACCGAAGGUGCCUUUAGAUUUUGAGCAAAUUCGUGAGAGUUUAGCUUCUCAUUCAUCACUCUGAAUUUCUCUUUUAUCCUCUUUAUCUGUCCAAAACAUGACCACACAAUUAAAUUAACAUAAUGUUUGUUCUUCUGCAUAGUUAGUUCCAAUGGCAAAUAAUAUGAUCAUAAAAGGUUUGGUUAUACCCUUCUGAGCUCGAUCUCUGUGCUCCGUUUCUUUUGAUCAAGUGAUUGCCGGAGAUUCGUGAUGUCGAAGAUACUAUCGAGGUCGUCUUCAAAUGCGUUUUCCAACUCCUCCCGGAGAAGAGCAGGUAACUUAUCAACAAUGGGCAUCAGAAGAAAACAGUUGAACUGCAUAACAAAAGAAAACACAAAUGCAAACUUUUAAAAGAAAUGUCACAUUAAAAGUAAGAAUCUGAGUAAAAACUGAAGUAGGAGCAAACCUUUAACUCAGCAGAGGCGAGAAAGUAUUCUCGUAUGCCCUGGAAUAUCUGUUGAACCAAUGCGUACACAAUUCUCUCAGAGGAAGGAGCAAGCUUGCGGUUCCAAAGCGUGCUAUCUAGAAGAUCAGCCAACCGCAUUUCUGUUGUCUGAAUACUGGAACCUGAAUCGAUGUUUGAGGCGAGAUGGCUUAGCUUUACAUCUGAUCUUACCUUUGUGUCUGUUGUGCCACCUGGUGCAUCUUGGGGAAGGCUAAAUCCUAUGGCAUUACCUGAUGUAGUAAGUUGCUCUGUUCCGCCAAAUGAGUCCAAGAAUUGACGUAGACCAGCUCGGUUCUACAUAACAUUGAGAAGAGAAAACUACCGAAUCAGAAAUGCUGAAACGGAUUCCAAAUUCGGAUGAAUUUUUAUGCAUCCUUACUGAAAACAGUUUUACUUCUAGUGUUAAUUUGAUAUGCACAAAACUCUAGUGAAUUGAAACAGAGCUAUAAAGCUGUAGCAGUAACCUUGUUGUGAAGAGACCAUGUAACAUAGCGAGUCGUACUUGCUAAGUCUUCCAUACAUCUGGAAUCAAUAUAAAAACCAAAGGGAGUUUAGUCACUUAAGCUCACUAGAACACAGGUAGGAGGCAUUUGAUCACUAACAACAGACAAGUGCACGACUUGGAAAAAGAUUUACUUGUCACGACAUGAUUUCUCUGUGGACUCCACAAAACUGUUGAAAGCUGAAGCAACCCGCUUAAGAAACACCUCAUGCCCACUUAAGUAUUCACCUUCUUUCUAUUCAAAUUUAAAACAUAUAUCACGAAAUUUGCUGGAAAGGGAACAUAAGUAGGAGCGUCAAACCAAAGAAAACAGUGCCUACCUGAAGAAGAUAUACAGAAAUUGGAAGCAAUCUCUUGAGAAUGUGUAGAAGCCUCGCCCCCAACUAUACCAACGCAAAAUGAACAAAAAUGAGAACUGAAAAAUACUUUCUGUAUGGAACGAGAAACAUGUGAAUAACAAAAAUUUCAGAUGAAAGUAUUUCCCAACAUAGUUUCUGUAAGCAGAACAUGUGUACUCAAUAACUCUUAAGCACAAAUAAAGUCCCAGCAAAUCUCAAACCUGAAUGGUAGUAUGAAUAUAAUAUUUCCUUUUAUGUAUAUCUAAGGAAGAAGAAAAUAGUAGAUAUAUCUUUGUCACCUGAUGAAGGAAAGGUUCAAACGUCUCACGAGCCUUUGCAACUGCUAUAACACAAGCUGUUCUACAACAGCAAGUAAGAGAAAGAGAAUAAGAGGUCCAAUGAAAACAUGACCAACAUGCAGGUCAGAUUAGAUACUGAAAUAGGUCUGGGAUGCAAAGACGAUAAAAUUGAGAAGUGUUGUGCAUGUCAGUCAAUGCUAUGACACCUGGAAUAGUUUGUUCCAUCAUGAAUAUCCUCAACUCCACAUGCAUUUACAAUUUCCUCCCGUGUUAUCGGGGGACAUUUGAUAGCACCAACUAGAAAACGAAACUCAGCCAUGGCACGAUGAUACUGUGCACCCCCAUAGAGACGCAUCCCUGCAUUCUGUAAAUGAAAGAUAAUUUGGUAAUGUUCUCUCAUAAUUCUUGAAGGUCCAACGAAGUAUCUCUUUUCUUUGUUUCCAAUACAUUAUUCUUUGCCACUUAUGUUUCAUGCGGUCAAAUUUUUCCAAUCAUAUUACAAUCCAUGUACAGGAACAAGACAACUGAAUUUGAAGACCACACCCAGCUUGCUCAAUAAAGUAAACAAUUUUCUGCUUCAAGGGAAACACUUACUGGUAUUAGCUUAUGUGGGAACUGGAGACCAUCAGUACCAACAAAUGCGCCUCCUUGUGUCCUUUCAUCUUGCAAUGUUUCACCUGAAAAACACCAUGAUAAAUUAUUAACUAUCAAAGAACCCAACACAAAGAGAAUGCUGUUAUAAAAUGUGCUUCUGCCAGUAACCAAAGUAUUAUGACCAAUGAUUGAUUGAUUGAGUAGCAUACAUCAUUCCAUGUGUAAUCACCUCAGUCUGGUGACCCAGUCAAAUUGAACAAUAUGCAUUUAACUAAACGGAUCUUGCAAAAGUCCAAUUCAGCAACACCCACGAACAAGAAAGAAUAUUGUCAAAGACAGUUGAUUAGCAGAGAACAGAGUAGUAAAAUUACCAAAUUUAUCUGGAGGGGCCACAACUGUUCCUUUCAAUAACAGCGAUAACUGGUGAAGAAAAAUAUAAACAAAACAGGUGAGAAAACACAACAUUGAUCAAUACUAACAAAGGUACUUCGUACAUCAAUCAGAAAAUAUGACGCAGCAAUUUUAAAGUCUUAAGGGCGUCCAACACAACAAGUUUACAGCCAUUCUAAAUUAAUAGCAAGUCCUAGAUAUCAUUUACUGUUGCAUAAUUUUAUGUGUCAAUAAUCAAUAAACAAUUUUUUUUAAUGUGUCAGUAGUUAAUAAACAAAAAAAGAAAGAAGUUUACAAAAAUGAACUUGCUGUAAUAAUACAAAAACUAUUAUUCCAUGAGUCCAGGCACAAAUGAUAAGGUAGGUGAAGGUGUAAAUAGGAAUCUUAAAAAUCGAAAUGCUCUCUAUAGAUACCUUGGUUAAGAAGAGAUCAUGGAAAGUCCUGCCUCUCUCUUUGAGUUUUGCUUCAUCUAAAGAGCUGCAUUGAAAGGAAAGAAUUCGACCACCAAUGAGUAAUAUUUUCUUAAAUCAGUAGAAAACAAUCAAACUGCCUAAAAUCAAGUAGACAUUUUCAGACAAAACAAAUUGCAACCUAAGUUCCUUGCUAACGGUAUCGAGCUUUCUGACUGUACUGCGGUACUCCUUUCCUAACAGUGGAAUGAUCAAUGGAACACUCUCUUUGUACCUGGAAAGAGAAUGACAUCAAGACUACAGCAAAAAAGUAAACUACAGAGGAAACAGAGGCUGAAAAUCAGAGAGUUAAAAAAUCAGUAAUACCUUUUCCAAAGUAGUUCUUCGAGAAACAACCUCAGUUUACUGAUGCCAAUCCUACUCUUUUCCUGUUUUGUCAGAAAACGGCCCAACUUCUUCUCUAAAGAUGCAAUGUCUUCCACUUCUCUAAGUGACACAGCCUGCAAUAAAACCACACAUAGUUUAGGAAGACCUGUUUUUAAUUUGUUUUAAGGAAUCAGAGAGAAGAGCAGAGACCUUUUUGAACUCGUCAUUAGACUUAUAUACUGAAUCCUGUCCAUAGCCAACUCUUCCAGAAGGCACAGAAGUGAAAAAAGGAGAAUCGCCCAAUAAGGAGCUGUCAAGUGCGCUUGCAGGAGGUGAGAGGAAGACUUCCACGUCGGAUGAACAUGAGAAUUGAGGGAUUUUGGUGUCAAGCUUUGUAGAAACAACAAUUGUCCUAGAAAGCUCAGGAUCAACCUACGUGAACAAAAGAAACAAACUUUAAGAGAAAAAAAAAAAGACAAGGUUAGACGCAAAGGAUUUAUGUCAAGUCUCAUACUUGCAUCACUAUCCUCCGAGUAGUUGCAAUGCUCCAGUCACUGCUAUCUUCGAGGCAUAAUAUAAUGAACUCUUUGUGUUGCAUCUUUGCUCGGACUAGAGCUUCCACAGCCCGUGCUUGAACCUAAGCAAAAGAACAAGUGACCACUCUCAGAUAAAGCAAAACCCCAAACAUAAAAUCAGCCAGGGAAUUGUAGAAAAAAGAACCUGGAGAGCUCGGUUUUUCAGUCCUGGUGCAGGAGCUAUAAGUCCAGGUGUAUCAAUGAUGGUAAGGUUGGGACAGUACUUAUACUGCACUUUCACAAUAAUCUCCUUGGAAGAGAAUGGGCAUGGCUCUUGCUCCAGCCUCAUGUUCUCGGCUUCAAUAUACGCCUAACUCCAAAUCAUUAACAAAUUUCGUUAACAUGAGCAUAUUGCUUCUCUACAAUAAACCUAAGUACUAGUGUUUCUCAACAUUCGUCAAAAUCUCCAGAAUUCGUCAAGAAACAAGCAAUUGAAAUUAAUAUGACAAAACACCUGAAUUUGUGAGAGAGAUUUGGGAAGGGAAACGGAAGGAUCAUCAUCAGAUCCGAGAUGACAAAGCGGGAAUUGACACUGAGGAUCGUACUUCAUAUGAAGAGUAAUCGGCCGGCGAGUCUUGGUUCCGCCGCCGACGUGGUUAAAUUGAAACCCCAUGAGAGCUUCAACAAGCGCACUCUUACCGUCCGUCUGCUGUCCCACCACAAGAACCGCCGGUGCUUCGAACGGCGUCUCCAAUUCCUGCGCCAAAGCGUGUAACUCAUUGUAAGCUUCGUAAAGACUCCACCGCUCCUCAAUCGCAGCGUCGUCCUCCUCCUCCGACAUUUUCUCAACCGUCACUGCCACAUCCGACAUCGUCUCUUAUGAAGAUGAGUAGAGGAAGAGUGUCUGAGUCCUUUUUCUACUCUUCCGCCAUGGAAUUUUGCAGAUACGGCUCGUUUCAAUUUAAAUAUUUUUCCGUCAAAAAGAAAUACAUUUUCGUGUGUUUUAAUCCCACACGCGCUUCCAUGGCGCGUCGAUUGGACGUUGUAACAGUUCUCCGCUAAAUUAAAUUAAAAAAAAGCGCGUGAGAUUAAAGAAACCCCUUUUUUUUUGGUCGGCAAAUAGAAAGAUUGUUUUUUUUUUGUUGUGUUCUCUCAUUUUCUUUUUGUUGACCAAUAGUAUAUACUGAAAUAUUAUCGCAAAGGAUUGCCAUUUUUGUGAUAAAAAUUGAACUAUGUAGUACAUAUUUGAGAUUACUACUGGAUGAAGAACCAGAUUUUUUUUUUUCACUAGAACAUGGAAGUUUUAUUAGAACUGAAACCAGAAAUUACACAACGCGGGCAAAGCUCGAGAUGACACUUUCCGGACACAAAGCCGACAAAGCUCGAGAUGACACUUUCCGAACACAAAGCCGGCAAGAUACUAAACCUUCCGGAACCAGAAAUAUUUUGAGCAAAUGAAAUGAAACUAUGAUUAAAUUAAAAUAGUGACUUUUAUUGUUACGACAUGGAGAAAAAUCAACGAGUUCUAUUGUUAAAGAGGAGACAUUGAAUAUAACAAAACUGGCUUAGAAGCCAAAAGGAGACUUAGUCCGUGUCCCUCCUUCACCGUAUUGCUCGUUCCAUUUUCUCAAUUCGUUCAUUGUGGUUGCGUCGUAUGCCACAGAUGGACUUACCUGCAAUAUUAUUAAGAUGAUGCAAUUUCGAUAUCGCAAAACACCAGGGGUUGAAAACAUAAACAGAGAUGAUGUUCUUUAAGACAUUGAUCCAAUACCUUAGCUUUAGAUUGAAUGAAGUCGUCCAAACUCAGUGGUCGUAGAUCAGGGGAUGCAUUUGCUACCGAGUCCUGAGGAUUCGACGGUGCAAAAACAACGAGUGAGUACAAAAAUUCUUUUCCGCAACAACAACAACAAAAAUCAACUGUGCGGGUUUAAGCAUGUCCUUACCUUGUUUUCUUCUUGUAACAAUUCUUGCACAGGUCUGUAUGCAGCAGCUAUGCAUAGAUUCUGCAAUGUAAAAACCAAAAGAAAUUAGAACUACUAUAACUUUCGAGUGUUGCAUCAUCAUACUCGAACUUGUAAAUUAAACCCUGAAUGACCAAACCUUCAGAUCGCUUCCUGAAUAUCCUUCGGUUUCCUUUGCAAGUUUUUCAAACUCGAAACCAGUUUCAAGAUUUUCUGGUGUCAGGAAUAUCUUCAAAAUCUUCAACCGGUUUUCCGCAUCUGGUAGAUUGACAUAUAUCCUAUAUACAGAAUCCUCAAUACAAUCAUCAAAAUGAGACAAAUAUUCCAAAGGAGAAAUUACUGGAAAACUAAUUUACCGUCUUGGUAGCCUACGAAUGACAGCGUCAUCAAGAUCAAAAGGUCGGUUGGUGGCACCGAGAAUGAGAAUCCUUUGGCUAUCUUUUGAUCUGAGUCCAUCCCAAGCUGCCAUAAACUCAUUUCUCAUCCUUCGGGUUGCCUCAUGCUCAAAAGCACCACCACGAGCACCCAACAAACUGUCAACCUACUCGACAACCAAAAAUAUUACAAAAGUAUUCCCCAUAAAAAGCAAUAACCGAAAUUGAAAAGUGAUAUAAAGCUAAACAAUUUCUCACCUCAUCAACAAAUAUAAUGACAGGGGCUAGUUUGCUUGCAAAGGAGAACAAAGCCUUUGUGAGCUUCUCUGCAUCUCCAAACCACUGUGCCAAAUAAUGGACAAAGUUGACUAACAAAUGGAGUUACAAUCGGCAUUGACCAUAUUAAGUCGAUGACCAGGGUGGUAAGGUUUUUAUUAUAAGUCAUUAGAUAUAAGUCAUUAGAUAUUCCCCUUAUUAUAUAAAUACAUUUACAAAGUGAUAAUUUCUAGUUGGAAUAUCAAUUUAACAGUGCAAUACAACAUAGUUAAAGGAUCCAUGUACCUUUGAGGUAAGCGUUGAGCCAGUUAUGCUAAUGAAGUUCGCCCCAGCUUCUGUUGCAAGCGCCUUGGCAAGUAGCGUUUUACCCGUACCGGGAGGACCAAAAAGCAAUAUGCCUUUACAUGGCUGGAAAAAGAAGACCCCACACCAUCAAGAAAAUCCAGCCGAGGAAAUUACAAGUCCGUAGGCAAGAAAAUAUUGACAUGUAUAUAACAGAAUGUAAUACCCGCAAGAGAUUUCCACGGGUGAAAAGCUCUGGCCUUCUCAUGGGAAGAAUAACCAACUCAUUUAGUGCCUUUUUCACAUGUUCAAGAGCACCAAUGUCGUCAAACUUUACCCCAAUUUCUCCAGGAGCAACCACAGCUGAGACAAAAUUGGUUUCGUACUCAUCCUUUGCAAUAUUCUGCAAAAAUAAAAAUCUCUGUUAACAUUAUUAUUACUCAAGAGUAUUCAGCAUCCAUUUGCCAGACGACCAGAGGGGAAAGAAACUAAACCUUCAAGUUAUGUGUGGGCUUUCGAGAAAUAUCUUCUUGUGCCUUUAGCCUUUUAACUGAAAUCUCAAUGCUUCAAAAGAGGAAGACAAUAGUAAGAUAAAUAUAAAAUCAAGAUAAAUCAUAGACCUCAAAGAUCAAUCAACAACCAUGCCAUUACCUUUCACGGGGCAGAAUCAGGCGGCCUUCUUUAAUCGAUGGGCUAGGACAAGAAGAUAAAUAGUGGUUUCUGGCCCAGCCAAUAACUUUCUCCGCUCCUGCAGAAACAGAAUAAACAAGUUUCUGAGCUCUCUUGGUCACAACAUAAGUAAUUGGGUUUUCAUCACAGAAAGCAAGAAAUAAAAUUAAUUGAUUGAUCAAAUAAGAAGACCGAUAUCAAGGUCAAUCACAUGGAACUGCAUCCUUUUUCAUGUAAUAUAAUCAUAAUACUAGCUUUAUAGCGGUCUCCUAAAACCAUAUUCUUGCCAUCAUAGCAACAAAUGACAUACAUAACACAGUAAAGUCAUGCUUGAUAUCCUCAAUCAGCAACUUUAACAUACUUAACACUGCUAAGACAUAACGAGUAAACACAUACAUAAUAAACCAGGUAUUUCAUAGGAGUUACACACUUUGCUUUGUCAAUAUCACGCCAUCGGUGUUCACUUGGUACAAGUCAGUGCACAACAACUCGUUUUCCUCAAGCGCCUGGAAAAAAUGGUUCUCAAAGUGUUAUAAUGGUUAUAAUAACAUCAAAAAUUGACUUUCAUUUCUCUAAACGAGAUUCAAUCUAGAUCUCUGUACCUUAAGUAGCUCAUUUAAAUUGCUCCGUGACACCACAAUUCUUCUGUCUUCUCCAAGUUGUUUGUUGAAUACUACGAGGUUAUCUUCUUCCUGCAUCAAAUUUAGAAAAGAAGAAAAGACGUACGACAUUGAUAAGCAAGACUUGUGGAACAAAUAAAUUUCAAGAAGAAGAUAGCAGCAUGAGCUAUGUGGGCAUUUGGAUCCCAGAUCUCGAUUGCAGAUGAAUUUAACAUUAUCCCAAAGGCGAAUUUGAAGGAAGUUUGCAUAUAUUUUCUCAUAUAUCAAAGUCACAAGUUUUCAAAUAGCUUUCCAACUUUAUCCUAAUGUCCGUAACGUAAGAAGAAUUAGCAGAGAUAUUUUCUCAAUAGACAUUAUCUGAUUCUAAACCAGUCUAAGUCUAUACAAUUUCACAUAAAUAUUAAAAAACACAUCAAUGCAAUUUUCAUCGGUUAUCCAAAAUCAUGUACGAAAGUUAUCAAAAGUCAUAAGGCAUACCUUAGGAGGGAGUAGGUUCAUAACAUUAGUGAAGAGCUUGUAUAUCUCAUUAUCCUCUGAUGUUUUCCUUCCCGUGAGUCCUUCAGUGAGAUGCUUCAACGGAAGGGGCUGUAAGACACAACAGCAUCUAUCAUAAAUAUUUUGGAGUGUAGGGUUUGGGAUUUAUCAAAUGCAGACCAAUAAAUGGAUGUAUGGCAAUGCCAAGAAGGAGAAGUGAAGCAUGCGAAUCCACAUUCAGAGUCUUGCACACGCUAAGCUAAUUUGACCACAAGUAUCAAAAUGCGACUGACAAAAAGUCAGGACUAAAUGCAUGCUCAAGAUGUUGAAUAAAUUGAUAAUGUUAGUAGUUGGUGUGCAUACGAGACCACAAGUUAUUAGAAAUUAACACAAUAGAUAAGUACUAAGACUAUCAAUUAAAGUUACUUUUAUGUUUAGCUAACAUACCAGUUUCCCAAGACGGCCGAAGUUUGGGAGUAUCAUCGUCUGUUCACAAAAAACAAAUGUCAAAAAAGAAAGAACACAAACGACUUGUUUACUGAUCAAUAAAAAAAGAAGAGCCAAUGAACAAUGAUACGUGAGAAAGGCUUACAAAUUUCUCUCUCUCUUUUGAGCCUGUUUCAGUCUUGUUUCGUCCACAGAUCAUUACAACAGGACCUGACAAUUUAUCAAACAUUUCCUGAACUUUGUUUACAAACUCAUUUUGUUUUGACUUAGGUACAGCUCUAGACAACCACUGCGACGAGUCGGGAAAAUAGACAAUAAGUGGUUGCGUGGAUUGCAAAACCUACAAGCACAGAAAAAGGGAAUUAAUUAACGCCACUUCAUGUUGUAUGUGCCUUGGAGAAAGUGUAAGCUACUUUAGACUUCACAUCUAACAUCUUAGGGCAAUAAUAUCAUUAAUUUCCAGCCCAAGAACGCAGCAUAUGUUGAACAAUCCAUAUAACUUAAGUUUCAAAAUCAAACUAAAUAUAAUGAGCACUUACUACUGCUGGAUACAGUAUCUGAUCUGAACUAUCAUAUAAGGCCAAUGUACAACGUUAGCUGAAUGGUAACACAAAAACAUAAUGUAACUUCCACACAUACCUCACUUAAAGCCUCCAUGGCGAUAUAACCAUCUUCUGCCUGCAUAUCCAAAUCAUGCUUUAGGUUUCCGACUGCGCAGAAAAUAUGUAAGUUAGCUGCAUUUACAUAAGAUGUCAAUUGUCUACAUACAGGAUAAUUCUCCAAAUAUACAGCCAUCACACAUCAACCAUACAGAACGCCAUGAAGUAAAUAUACCAUCUAUCCAGUGCAUAUGUAGCUUAUGGGAGUGCUCUGUUGAUUUCUUCUCGUUUCCCUCUGAUGACGUCUCACCUACAUUGUCAAAUAUGACCGCAACACGGUUCCCAUUCACCUCAUAGACCUCUCCACGUUGUCCACUAGAUAAUGGCCUGUAGGUAUAUAAAUUUUGGUAUAAGACAAAUCUUAGGGCAUCUAUUUCCAGAGCUCUAUGAGUUCAAUAUGUGUUCCAGAAAAGAUCAAAUGUUACAUUUGCAGGCACGUCAAAUUGCUGAGGAAACCAUGGAUAGUAUACUAUUAUGAGAUACAACAUCAUCAACCUAGUGAUGAUAUUGGUAAGCAUGCACAACCAGUCAUUUAGUUAAGCAAAGGCAGAGCUCACAAAUAAAUGAAUACGUCAAUUAGAAAACCAUUCAAAUUAAACGUUCUUAAACCAUUACCAAAGGCAUAUCCAACAAUCACAAUUAAGGUCCACGUGGCAGUUAAUGAGAAAACUACUACUAUAAUGAAUAGGCAGAGCAAGCAGAGAUCAAGUCAAAUAAUAGGAGACACAGACAUAAAAGAUAUUAGAGCGUACUAUUCUUCAGCAAGGUUAGAAAAUUAAUUAUCGCACAAGUGAAUCAGUAAACUACCUGUGCUUUGCAUCAGCCUUCUUAGAAGGCCCAACAUAUUUUACACGAUCUCCUGCAAAAAGUGUAAACACAAAUAGAAAUGAGGAAAAAGUGAAAAAUUGACAGCACAGAGAGAACUUAGCAGUCUGAUAAAUAGAAGAGGAAAGAGUGAAAGGCUAAGAUAUAAAGACAACACCAGGAAAAUAUGACUAAAUCAAACUUCUUCAGCAAACUGAUACAUUCAAGUCUACCUAGCACUUAUAAUGAUGAAGAUGCCUUCCAGAGCCUUGGUAUUGAUGUUUACCUUUCUUUGCCGGUCGCCUGGCUUUUUCAGAAUGCUCAACAGCUGCCGCCUCGCAAGCUUCACCAGAACCAUGUAGUUCUUCUGCUACUAGCUGCCACAAAUUAGAGCAGAUAAGCAAAUUUCAGAAAUUUCUGAAACUCAUUUCAUUUGAAAGAUCAAAAAUGGAACAUGCAAAUAGUCAUCAUGUAGAACCAAGAAACAGUAUUCAAACGGCAGGAAUAGUAAAACCUUUUGAUUCACGCAUAGUAACUCCAAUAACGUGUUCAUAUAAAUAAAAUAAAAUCAAGAAUCAGAAUGACAGGGUCCAAGAUCACACUGUCCACGGGGUACAGCAAAAAAAAAACAAUAAAUAUCAUGGUCAACAUAAAAUUAGGAAAAAGACAAUCAGGACAGACUAAAUUUUCUGAUGAAUAGCAGAAAGAAAAAAUGUCUAUCUGCAAAUCUGCUAACCGACCGACGGAUACCACUAACUGACUAAGCUAGAGAACAGGAGACCAAAGGUCUUCAUGCUUAAUCGAGCCAGGAAUGAAGAAGCAAUGGACACUAUUCGUGGACAGAGCGAAUCUCUGUUAACGCAAUCAUACCUUUUCGAACUCCUCAAGUUUUGGCACAAUUUUCUUGAUAGCUUCCUCAGAAACCUCGAGACAAGCUUCCUCAUUGUCACUCCCAUCUGUUUUCGCUUCAGAAUCCUCCUCGCUAUGAGCACCAGAUUCUUCCUCAGCUUCAGACUCUGUCGUGGACUCAUCUGCUUCCGCUUCUGCGUUCUCACCAUCAGAUUCAGAAUCUUCAUUGUAGUCAUCAGCAAAAUCCUGGUCCAGAAUCAAGAAAGAUUACAUGAACACGAAAAAAACGAAAGAAAAUUGGUGGCAUGUUAUAGGCAAAUUACUUAAAAGAAGCUCACAUAUGGGGCAAGAACGCUGCUGUCAAGAACCAACAGGGGAACUUGUACAUCUCGAGCAAGUGCUCGUACCAACCUCUCCCGGUAAAGCUCAGUACCUGAAUAAACAUCAAAUUCCUUAUUGGUCAUCUUACAUUUCCUCUACCAGAAGAGCAACAUCAAAUACUGGUCGGCCUUUUUUACUUUAGUCAAUAACAAACCUGGAACACUCUGGAGCAAUAUUCUUCCACUUGAAGAAUCUAAACGGGCACCAUAUAUGGAAGCGGCAUUCUUUUGUCUUAUAUGUGAGGUAACACAUUCCACCAAAAUAUUUUUCGUGUGGUCGCUGUGAAAGAAACAGGAGCAGAACACAUAAACAGAAAUGGAGAAAAUAAACACGAUGAGAGAAAAAGAAACAUGUUGUAGAUUAUUACUGGAUAUAGUAAGGGAAGGUCUCCCACGAAAGCUGUAUUUUUUCCCAAGGUUGGAUUCUUCGUAAGAACUCGUUUUUGAAUCUUUCUCGUCUAUUAAGGAAAGGUGACUCCUUCUUUUUGCAUUCACUAGCAAGCUUCUCACUAUUGAGCCAUUCUAUUUGGUCCUGUUCUCCAAGUUGAGCAUGAGAAUCCAAAUGCCCAACACCGCUAUUACUUUUCUCCUUCCCGGUUUUUGCAUCAUCUACGCCAUUCCCUUUGUUCAAAGAGAUAUGUUUAUCCUCACUAGCAUUCCUUCCAUCACCUUCAGAACUAAAACUACGCAAGUGACUAUUCUUCAAAAUACUUAAACAAUUCCCCGAGGCAAUAGUACCACCGCAGGGAGAAAAUGAACCAAGUAGAGACUUUCUUGUCAAAUUUGCACUAUUAGUUAAAUGAUUUGUUAAUGUAUUUGUGAAUCCACAAGAUCUGGAAACCGUAUAGUCACGAACGGCUGGCCUAACUAAGUAUUUGGCUUGCUGCAGUACCAAACCCCAUCUCUGGUUCCUCUUUAAUGCCCUUGUAUACAUCACAAAGUCCCUUGUCUCAAAAUCCAGUACAACUACAAAUAAAAGAAAAAACAGAUAUCAUUGAUUUAAAAUCACUCGCAGGGUUCAUUUCUUGCACUAUCCAACCUAUAUACAUUGCAACAUGUAAUUGCACCAUUCGAAAGAACCAAACCCGAGAUCAAGAUCAGUGCAAAACAUAGAUUCUAUCAAAUUUAUUUCGACUUGAUGAAUAACACACUUCAGGGAAUGAAAUUAUUAAGAACAUACAUCAAUUAAAAUGAACGAUGAUGACGCAUAACGGAAAAAUCAAUGUAACAACGAAGAUAAGGCAUCGAUAGAGAAAUGAUGGGUAUAUUCAGCUUUUGUCAUCUAUAAAUAUUACAAAACACGAACCUUUAACAGAGAUGAACAACAAAACCAGUUCUAUUCAUUACCCAAGCUCUAAGAAUCAGGCUUGGCGCAAAGAGGAGAUGUAACCAGGAACGAGAUAGGGUGAAGAAGAUAGAGAAAAUCCCGACAGAGGAGAGAGAGAGAGACCGAUCUAUAAGUCUGUAGGUUCUUCUUCUGAAGCUGGGUUCGCAAGCUCAGCUUCGUUGAUGCAGUGUUGUCGUUUUGACACAAAAAUUGCUACUGCCUUAAUAUGGAUAUGGGCCGAACAUUAAAGGCCCAUUAAACAUAUAAGAGUCGGUAUUGUUACUCUAUUUAGACAAAAAAAGCCUUGUCGAAUUUUACAAUCGUACCCCUCUUUUAAGCCGCGCUUAUCUCGAACAGCUACUACUUGUAGAGAGAAGAAGCAUUUGGGGAAAAUCGAUUGAAAACCCUAGGAGAGAGAAAACAAACAAUCUAGACGGAGACUAAUGGCGACAGCGAAUCCUGGCCGUGGAGGUGGUAGAAGAGGCGGUGGACCUAUGGAUGACGAUAAGCUGGUGUUCGAGACCACCGAAGGGAUCGAGCCCAUCACGAGCUUCAAUGAUAUGGGGAUAAAGGAAGAUGUGCUUCGCGGUGUUUACGAGUAUGGUUUCGAGAAGCCGUCCGCGAUUCAGCAGAGGGCGGUGAUGCCGAUUCUUCAAGGACGUGAUGUUAUUGCUCAAGCUCAGUCCGGUACGGGGAAGACAUCUAUGAUUGCUCUCUCCGUUUGCCAAGUUGUUGAUACUUCUUCUAGAGAGUAUGUUUUCUAUUCCUUUAGCUGGAGAAAACCUUUAAUUUCAAUUUUGAACUUUACUUGCUUUGCUCGGAUUGUUCAUUUGCUCUGAUUUACAUGAUUAGGUUUUGUUCUUCUCAAUUUUGCAACUGGUCGGUGGGUUUUUAUGUGUUUAUAAUCAGAUUCUUACCAUUUUUGUGGGAUAUAUUUUGUCCUGACUCUGACAUGUAGAGUAAACAAAUAAUUGGAGUAGUCGGUUAUUAUUGAUUCAUUGAUGUUCAAUCAUCUUUGUGAAAAUUUGUGAUAGUUAUUCUGGCUAUUCGAUUAUAGUGAUUGAGUAAUACUUUAUUGUUUAGGCUGCAGGAUCUCGUUACAGGUUUACUGAUUUAUUUGGUAUCUCUUACUGCAGGGUUCAGGCGUUGAUAUUAUCCCCAACAAGAGAGCUGGCUACACAAACAGAGAAGACGAUACAAGCUAUUGGAUUACACGCCAAUAUUCAGGCACAUGCUUGCAUCGGUGGGAAGAGUGUUGGAGAAGACAUCAGGAAGCUGGAGCAUGGUGUUCAUGUUGUGUCUGGGACACCUGGUCGUGUCUGUGACAUGAUUAAGAGGAGAAGUCUUCGUACCAGAGCUAUUAAACUUCUGAUUCUUGAUGAAUCAGAUGAAAUGCUGAGCAGAGGGUUCAAAGACCAAAUCUAUGAUGUUUACAGAUAUCUUCCACCAGAUCUUCAGGUGCUAUUUCACUGCUCAAUUUAUUUGGUGGCUAACUCCUAGUUUUUUUGGCUGUUAUUGCAUUAGGUUUUUUUUUUUUUUAAUAUGGAUUGGCUGCUUGGGCUCUGUGUGGAUUUAAUAGAAUCUUAAGGUGUUAUUGAAUGUUCCAUGUGUAGAUUUGGUAGCUAUUAACUGUAUUAUGACCAGCUAAAUUUCAUUCUAUGAUAGUUGAAUCCUAAUACGUUUGUUUAUAGGUUUGCCUGGUUUCUGCAACCCUUCCUCACGAGAUUUUGGAGAUGACAUCUAAGUUUAUGACGGAGCCAGUGAAGAUACUUGUGAAGCGUGAUGAGUUGACUCUUGAAGUAUGUUUCUCCUUCUGCUUCUGUAUGCUAUUAUGAUUAUUUUUACAGUAGGGCCAUACUCAUAUUCUUCACUGGCUAACUUUUGUAUACAAUCUUUUCAGGGAAUCAAACAAUUUUUUGUUGCUGUUGAGAAAGAGGAGUGGAAAUUUGAUACACUCUGUGAUCUUUAUGACACACUUACUAUCACUCAAGCUGUUAUCUUCUGCAAUACAAAACGAAAGGUAAUCCUGGUUCUCCUGCAACUGUAUCUCAAACUUGUUAACAUUAAACUUCUAGCACUGUUGUCUUAACUUGAUUUGCGAUGCUCAAAAAUUUAUACCAUCUCGUGAAUAUAUGUAUGUGUUUAUUCCUAAAUGAAAUUAACAAUACAAGGCCACUGCUCUAGAGUACUUGCAAUCUGUUCUCACCUGCUGAUAUCUAUUAGAUUGCAUUGGCCUCUUAAUAUAUCAUGUGAUUCUAUAUACCAGCAAGAGUUCUUGAAUUAUGGUUUUUUUCAGUGUUUUGCUCAACUCCAUCUCUGUAUUUGUUUUAGGUUGAUUAUCUAAGUGAGAAAAUGAGAAGUAACAACUUCACUGUCUCAUCAAUGCACGGGGACAUGCCUCAGAAGGAGAGAGACGAGAUCAUGAAUCAGUUCCGGUCAGGUGAAAGUCGUGUUUUGAUCACAACUGAUGUAUGGGCACGUGGGAUUGAUGUGCAGCAAGUAAGUCAUUACUUAUCCGCUAUAUCUUGUGUAGAUAACAAUGCGGGGAAAAAACUCAAUCUCUGUUAUUGAGGCCUCGGAUUAUGUGCCAUGCUCUUAUGGUAAAAGUUGAAUUGACUUGACAAUCUUUCUUUAACAGGUUUCUCUUGUCAUCAAUUAUGAUCUCCCCAACAACCGUGAGCUGUACAUCCAUCGUAUUGGACGUUCUGGUCGAUUUGGGCGUAAGGUAAGUAAUUUGUUAUAAUUUCUGCAUUGUUUGUUUACCUCCUCUUCGGAGCUAAAUUUCUUAGCCUGGAGAUACUAAAUGGAUAUCUUUUAACCAACUUUAUGGUUAUCUUUCUAGGGUGUUGCAAUCAACUUUGUUAAAAGCGACGAUAUCAAGAUUCUCCGAGACAUUGAGCAGUACUACAGUACCCAGAUUGAUGAGAUGCCAAUGAAUGUAGCUGAUCUUAUCUAAAAGAAGAGCUUGUCUGAGAUUUUGUGCUUUCAGAGGGAAGUGUCUGGAUGAGAAGAAGUAUUAUUCAGAGCUUCUGUCAAAUUAUUGCACUAUUUUAUGGUGUGGUUCCUUUUGAUGUUUAUGUGGGCUCUUUUGAACAAAUUUUAAACUCGCGUGUGGUAAAUUUAUAAUGACUUAAGAAGCGAUUUAGGAUUAGGGUUUGGACCUUCUGGUUUUUUUUCCCUCGUAAUUGAUUUUGGGAUUUUGAUUGUGGGUCAAAUCUCUCAACCAUCAUUACUUGCAAGACUUUUGGUCGACAGUUGAAAUGGUUAAUUGUUUUCUUAUUUUGUAAAAGUUUGGAUCGUUGCAAAAGCAAGCAAGUUGACGAAAUUACUGGACGUGGUUUUGAGGUUUUUGGUAUCGUGUGUUUCAUUUGAAAUUGAUGAACGAAACCCAAAACCGGUUAGGACCGAAUUAGAUUUAAUUUAAUAAAUCCAGGACCAAAUAACCGGAACUUAAUAAACGACCGUCGUUUUUGCUGUUGGUAGUCAGCGAGACGAAACUCAACUUGGCUCUGUUCACCUGUUCUCACUGGUCAAUAGACGGAGAUAAACGGGUCAUCGGCGAUGGAGAACACGGACGUCUUCUUGGGGCUGCAUGAUUUUCUGGAACGGAUGCGCAAACCCUCCGCCGGCGAUUUCGUCAAAUCCAUUAAAAGGUCCCUUUUUUUUUUUAUGCAGAUCCGGAUAAAUGUGUGGUUCUAUGUACGAUCUUCCUCUUAGCUUAAGUGGAUGUUUUGCAUAGUGGUUUACGUUUUUAGGUCCAUUUUCACUUGCUGAUGAUACUAUGUGAGCAAGAUUCGUACUGAUUUGAGAUUUCUCUCUUUUGAAAUUUUCCGGACGAACAGCUGUUUGAUAAAUUCAGGUGAUUUACUUGAAGGAUAUUUUCUUCUGAUAGCAAUAUCUCUUAUUCCACUGCAGUUCGUUACUGGGGAAGGCAAUUGGAUCUUGUUAGUAGGGUAUACCAAUUAGUAUAUAAUUGAUGCCAUACUGGAAUGGUUUAUUUAUUGAGCAUAGAAAUAUCGUGGAUUAUGUGUGGUUGAGUAUGUUUUCUGGUUUACAUUACGUUUUCCUUCAACUUCAUAAACCAUGUCGUCAGUUUAUGUUGCAGUUUCAUUGUUUCAUUCUCGAACAAUGCACCAGACCCGGAAAAAGAUUGUGCUACUGUUCAGGAGUUCUUUUCUAAGAUGGAGGCUGCUUUCAGGGCUCAUCCACUUUGGUCUGGUUGUUCUGAGGAGGAAUUGGACAGUGCAGGAGAUGUGAGUAUCAGUAUUAUUUUCUUUCUAUUUGUGGAUUGGUUACAUGUUUGUGCCGUUAUCAUUGUUCCUUCGUAUACACAGGGCCUGGAGAAGUAUGUUAUGACAAAGCUAUUUACCCGGGUAUUUGCCUCAAACACUGAGGAGGUUAUAGCUGAUGAGAAACUCUUUCAAAAGAUGUCAUUGGUUCAACAAUUCAUUUCUCCUGAGAAUUUGGAUAUACAACCAACUUUUCAAAACGAAUCAUCAUGGCUGGUAAGCCAAUCUAGUCAAAGCUAGCUCGCAGUAUUGUUUCCUCUUUUUCUUAAUGUUUUCACUUGUGAUAUUUUUUCUCCUUACGGCAGCUAGCUCAAAAAGAGCUCCAGAAGAUAAACAUGUACAAAGCACCUCGUGAUAAGCUUGUGUGUAUCCUUAACUGUUGCAAAGUGAUAAAUAACUUACUGCUAAAUGCUUCAAUUGCUUCAAACGAGAAUGCACCUGGAGCAGACGAAUUUCUUCCUGUUUUGAUAUAUGUUACAAUAAAGGUAUGGAGAACGAUUGAACAACUUAUGCAUACUAGUUUCUGAAGGUGUAUUUUUGUUGUACAUGAUUAUGUUUGGAAUGUGCAUGAACAUAUACUAGUGCUCAUUCUGUUCUUUCUAUUUCGCAGGCUAACCCUCCACAACUUCACUCAAACUUGUUGUAUAUACAAAGAUAUAGGCGUGAAUCUAAACUUGUUGGUGAAGCUGCGUACUUCUUCACAAACAUACUCUCUGCAGAGUCUUUCAUCUCUAAUAUUGAUGCAAAAUCUCUUUCAUUGGAUGAAGCUGAGUUUGAAAAGAACAUGGAAUCUGCACGGGCACGAAUUUCUGGUUUGGGCAGCCAGUCUUAUCAAACUGGUCAUGGCACUGCACCACCCCCUCGUGAUGAGUCCACUCUUCAGAAAACUCAAAGUCUGAAUCCCAAGAGGGAAAACACUCUUUUCCAAUCAAAAUCGUCUGAUAGUCUUUCUGGGACCAACGAAAUACUGAAUAUAAACAGUGAAACACCAAUGAAGAAAGCUGAAUCUAUUUCAGAUUUGGAAAAUAAGGGUGCGACGCUUUUGAAGGAUACCGAGCCAAGCAAAGUCUUUCAAGAAUAUCCUUACUUAUUUGCCAGUGCUGGUGAUCUGAGGAUAGGAGAUGUUGAGGACUUGUUAAAUAAUUAUAAACAGCUCGUUUUCAAAUAUGUGUGCCUUACCAAAGGAUUGGGUGAUGCAACAUCUUUAGCUCCAUCCAGUUCACCCUUGCAAGCGUUGUCCGGUUUUGAUACGUAUAAGGAAUCUGAGGAUCAUACAACAUCGUCUUCAGAUGUACAAAUGACAAGGGAAACUGACAGCAGUGUUGAUGAUUUGAUCCGAGCUCUACAAGGUGAAGGGGAAGAUGUUAAUAAUUUGUCAGAUGUAAAACAUGAAGAAUAUGGCGCAAUGUUGGUAGAGCGAAAGGAUGAAGAACGUGAUCCCAAGAUGCUAGGAGAAGCAGAUGCCAAAGAUACUGAUUUGAUUAAGCACAUUCCUAAGAGAGAAAGUGAGAAUUCUAGUUCCCGACCUGCAGAAGAUGAAGAUGUUGGUUCCAAACACCCAGUUGCGGAAGCUUCUGAGUGAGCAGAAUGACUCGUCAAGGUGGUGAGAGUCUCUUGAAUGGGAUCAGUUCUUUGUUGAGGGAAGAAUUCAUUUAGUGGGGGGAAGCAGAGGUCAGAGCAUAGUUAAAAUGUCAUCCAUUCGUUUCCUGCAGCUGUGUGUUUUGAGGAUGAGUGGAGAGUUGUAUGAGGUGAAGGCUAUCUGUAUCUGUAGUCUCUUGGGAAACAGGAGCAGUCAAAUGGUAACUCUACUUUCUUUAAUUGUGUUUUUCUUUGUUUUUGCAGUCCACUCUUUGUUUCUCUAUGAUAUGAUUUUGGAGGGGCUCCUCAACAUUUAUCAAUCUAUAUGUAACUCUUACAUCUGCUAUUGCGUAUAUACAAUAAGGAUAUAAUCAGAAUAAUAUUUGCCAAGUUGUUAGAUACGAGAACGAAGUAAUGGUUGCGUGAAUCUGCUGAGUAAGGGAAUGGGAAAAAUGGAAGAGAGUGUUGAAAGAUAAAAGAUGGUAAUGGUAAUGUUUGAGGCUUGUUUGAUUUCUUUGCCAUCGGACUAAUGCUGUUGGAAGAUGUGAGAGAGUGUAAGACAAGAUCAGAUCAAACGUGAGUGUCUGAAAAACCUGAGAUAACAGUAAAACACAAGACAAGAACUUUGUGAGCUUGACCACCCCUCAAUAUUCAAAUAGAGUUUGUAAUGUCGCUGCUUUUGGCUGAACUUGUGACUCUAGAGACUUUGACGUUUACUCUACCAAGUGGGAGUGAAUCUAGUAACAACAAAUUCUGAGGAAUCUCGUAAGACCAACGGUUGAUCAAGAACUUGUACUCGGAUUAUCGUUCUUGAUUCCAUGGAUGUUCGAAAUCAAUAUACAAAAACACGGAUUAAUUAGUGUCUGGAAUUUGAAUAUGUUAACGGAAAAGAUAAAAUCAAGUUUGGAGUAAUUUGAAUUUCCAUCAAAUUUUAUAUACACGUGACAGGAAUCUCUCGAACCGGUAAAAAUGCGAUCUCUCCAUAAUUUGAUCAGUUUAAACCGAACCAACCAAGAGAAUCGAGAUCGGAGCGCCGACGUCGAAUAGAAGGAAGAAGACGCGACGAGAGAGCGAGCGGUUUUCCGAUGAAGACGCCGACGCUCCUCCUUCUCUUCCUAUCCUUCUUAUCCGUUAUUCUUCCAUCGUCAAGUGGGCAAGGCGAAUGGGAGAUCCUAACGGAGCAAAACUUCUCUUCUCAGAUCCGUCUCCACCCUCAUGUCCUCCUCUUUGUCACCACUCCAUGUACUCUCACUCUCUCUUGCGUAUAUAUUCAUAGUUUGCGUAUAAAUAUACUUGGGAUUGCCUUUGUGGAGAUGUUUUCAGUGUCCUUAUUUGUCUUCUGACUGAUUUUAUUGCUUGAUUCAUAGGGUGUGGUGAGUCCAGAUCUCUUAAGAAUGAAAUUGCUCAGAUGGUUCAAAGUAGGGAGGAAUUUGGCUUGUUGAAGUUAACGGUUGUAUACAGAAACUCAGAAAAGGUGUUAGCACAAGCCAUUGGUGCUGCCAAUGGAAUAACAAUUUUGUACUAUCACAAUAGUGUGCCUUACAACUAUCUAGGGAAACUCCGAGGUUCAAAUAUAUUGUCCUCUAUUCAUCCUUAUCUGACAUCUACUCCUGAAGAACUCCCUCUCAAACAUUUGAAGUCUCCAAAGAGUUUGAAAGAUUUUCUUGAAUCAUCUGACAAGGCUUUACUUCUGUUCGAAUUUUGCGGAUGGACUACUACGCUGCUAUCUGAGCUGAAGAAAAAUGUUACUGAAGAUAACCUUUGGCAGGGUGAGUUUGAUCUGCUGUUGUUGACUCUGGCUCUACAUGACGAGGGAUAAUCCUGAUCUUUUGAGAUUAUUUAUUACACACUCCCGAUAGUGCUCUUGGUUUUCUUAAAACUUCUAGUUUUAUUUGAUGAAAAAUUGGAAUGUUGGGAUAAUCCUUAAGAGAUUCUGAUCAUUACUUUGCAGGAAACUUCUCCAGAAAAGUAGAAACUGAUCGAGUGCUGAAGCUAAGAGGAAAAAAUAACCAGAAGGUGGCUGGUAGAUUCUCACUUCAUGUAUGUUGAUAUGUUCUUGUAGGUGCAUUGCUUCCAUAAUGUUAAUUUUCUUUGCACCCUGGAAACAUGCUAUGCAGAAUGGAACAAUAUGUGUGGACUCCAAAGUGGAUUUGGUAAAGUUCCUUGGCUUGAGGAUUUUAGCUAUGCCAAUGAUACUGCUGCUUUGCAGGAACAUGGCAGGGUAAAUCUGGGGUUUGGACAGACAUGUAACCAUGAAGAUUUCAAGCAAUUUAGUUCAUUCCUCUCUAAACUGAUUGCCACCACAAAAGAGUUUUCUCUGCCUCCUGAAAGGCAAAAAUUUGGUCUGAUUACAGAAGAAUCAUUGGCUUCAUCAUUUAAUAUUGGAAAAUCUGAUUCGUGGGCAGCGGUCCUUCAGCUGGCAGGAUGUCCACAUUGUUCAAAGAUUUUCAAGGCCGGGGACGACAUUCAGAGAUUUUUAAAGAUGGAGAAUCCGGUAGUCACAGAGGUAUGGUUCUCUUUAUGUCUCUAUAUUUAGUUGACUUUGCAUAUUCAAGCAAGAUCUCUAUGUUGUUUGAGUCAAUACAAUUUGAAACUGUCAGUUGUGUUUUUGUUCGUUUUAUUGAUUUAGUUGUUAUUUUACUUCCUGCCCAUGUUUAUUAAGCUUAUAUAGUUGUGUCCAUUUAAAUUUUUCCAUCUUGCCGUACAUACAUCAAUCUUCUUUGUUUUUCUCAUCUAGCUGGAGGACGACUGGCAGGACCAUGAGUCAUCUUUACCUGCAAGUAAACCCUCAGUUAUUCUUUUUGUGGAUAGAUCAAGUGGGUCCUUGGAGGAGAGGAGAAGGAGUAUGAAAGCACUUGAUACUUUCAGAGAGGUAGCUGCACAGCAUAAAUUGUCUGACAUAAAACAAUGGGAGAAUGAUAUUAAGUAUGAGAAAUCCGUUAGCCAGGCUGAUAAAAAAUCGGGGUCUGUGUCACUUCCAAAAACUGUCCAAAAGUUUAAGAAAAUUAAGUUAGAGAAUAAGGUCUCUUUUAUGAUUUUGGAUGGGGAUAAACAUGUAGCCCUAGAUACUGCAGCGCCAGGUAUGGAAGGCAGUUCCCUGCAGGAGAUACUGACAAAUCUUUUUCACAGAAGAAAAGAAAGUAAAUUGAGCUCGCUUGCUAAGGAUGUUGGUUUCCGUCUGUUAUCUGAUGAUGUGCACAUAAAAGUGCUGGAUGCGUUACCGUCACAAGCAGAAGUUGUGUCUAGUCAAGAUACAACUUCAUCUUCUGCAGAAGGUUCCAGUGAAAUUUCUCUUCACCCUAAAGAUGCAGAGGUGCAGAACAGAGUCAGUAUGAGUUCUGAAGAAAAAGAUGAAAUGAAAUCCUCUGAAACUGAAUCCUCCUCCCCUAGUGAUGAAGAGCAGGUUACUACAAAUAGGAGUGAACAAUUAGUAAUGGCAGAAACCGAUAAGACUGAGGUUUAUUUGAAAAAAAAUAUUAAUGGAGAGAUCAAGGUAUCGUUGCACUCAGAACCGAAGGAAGAUCUAGUGCAUAAAUUCACGGGUUCAUUUUUCUUCUCUGAUGCAAAUUAUGUAUUACUGAGGGCUCUUACUGGUGAUGUAAAGAUUCCAUCAGCAGUAAUUAUUGACCCUGCUUUACAACAGCACUAUGUCCUUCAAGAUAAGUUCAGCUAUUCGUCACUGGUCGACUUUCUUGAUGGAUAUCUCAAUGGAAGUCUAUCUCCUUAUACACAGUCUGAAUCUAGCAUUCAGACGCCUAAAAAAGCUACAGUUCCACCUUUUGUUAAUCUGGAUUUUCACGAGGUGGAUUCUAUUCCCCGUGUCACAGUCAGUACCUUCUCCCAUAUGGUUCAUGCAUGGGAUCAAUCCAGUGCAGAGAAGGCUCCUUGUCCUCUGUGCCAGGACGUUUUGGUCCUUUUUAGUAAUAACUGGUGUGGGUUUUGUCAGAGGAUGGAGCUAGUUCUGCAUGAAGUAUACCGUUCACUAAAAGAAUAUAAAGCGAUUAUACAAGGAGGAUCUACGAACAAUCAAAGGUUCAAAUCAGGUAUGUGAUAUAGAUUGACUAGUGUUCUUACUCCUAUUUUCUAUCUGAGUGUACUAAUUGUAAUAUUGAAAGUGAAGUGGACAUGUUUUUAAAGUUUCUUGUUUCUCUUCUUCUGUUGCUUUUUCUGUUCUGAAGCAGAGACACCAACUAAUGGCGAGAAUCUAAAAUCUCCACUUAUCUACUUAAUGGACUGCACGUUGAAUGAUUGCAGCUUAAUCCUAAAAUCAAUAAAUCAGGUACUUUUCAUGAUAGCUUGUCUAAUUUUUAGUCUGGUUUGUUUUAUUUAUUCUAGUAUAUCCAUAUCACAGUUUUGCUAUUGAGUAGUUAGAGCUUAUGAUUGUAUACACCAUAUUCUCAUUUCUGAAUCCAGUAUUCACUCGCUCUAUGAAUCUGUAACAUUGCAGAGGGAAGUGUAUCCUUCUCUGAUAUUAUUUCCAGCCGAGAGAAACAAAGUCACUCCAUAUGAAGGGGAGACAUCUGUAACUGACAUAACAGAGUUUCUAGCACGCCAUGCAAAUAACUCUCGUGGGUUUUUCAGUAAGUCAGCAUCUGAAUCCUUGUUUAUUCACUUGUUUACACAUUUAUGCUAAAUAUUAUCUCUUAAGUGUCUGACCUUCUAGGACAAUACUGUAGGAACAUAUUUCUGCAGAAUCUUAACAUGCUCUACAACUUGUGAUUCAGUUAUUUCGUAGUAACUCGUUUUUUUCCGGCCUUAGCUGGUUGCUGAGGAAUGCUUUUGGCUUUUUAUACUUCUGUUUUGAUCUGAAGCAUAAACAAAGUAAGUUAUGAGUCUUUCUCUGGCAGGACUCCUUCCUACUCUGUCUAGAAAUGGAAGAAGAAACUCAAACAAGUUGGAUCAAUCUUCAUCUGCGGUAGACUAUAAAGUGACAGAUGGUGAUAAACUUGUUGAGGUCGUUUUAAGGAACAGAGAGCCCGCUGAAAGAGAGGUAAACCAUUACCAGGUCAAUUCCGAAUCGCCUCCAACACACUCGCUCACAACCGCUCCCCAAGUGAAAACCGGCACAAUCCUGGUCGCUACAGAAAAACUAGCUGCCUCCCAACCAUUUGCCAAAUCAAAGAUUCUGAUCAUAAAAGCAGGCCCUGAAUUCGGUUUCCUGGGUCUAAUCUUCAACAAACGGAUAAGGUGGAAAUCGUUCCCUGACCUAGGGGAAACAGCCGAGCUCUUGGAAGAGACUCCUCUAUUGUUCGGAGGUCCCGUCGUGGAUCCAGGAAUACCACUUUUAGCUCUGACCCGAGAGAAAGACUCAUCCACGGACCAUGAUCACCCGGAAAUCUCACCAGGCGUUUAUUUCUUAGAUCAUCAAUCAGUGGCCCGUCGAAUCCAAGAGUUGAAAUCUAGAGAGCUAAAUCCAAGUGAGUACUGGUUUUUCUUGGGAUACUCAAGCUGGAGUUAUGAGCAGUUGUUUGAUGAGAUAGGUCUUGGAGUAUGGGAUGUUGAUAACAGUGACAUUGACUUUGCUUGGCCUUGAAGCUGUGACAUUGCAUCUCGUGAAAUGUUUUCUUUUACUUUUUUUUUUUUGGUUUUAGAAAAAAGAAAAAAAGAAUAGAAGAUAGUAAAACCCAUCAUGUGGUUAACUGUAAGAAUAACACUUAAAAAUGUCUUCUCUACAAUUACAACAGAUAGAAUUACAUUAGCUUCUUUUGAGAUCAUUCCUCUUGCAGAUUACUUGUAAAAGAUGAAUCAAACUUAAAAUCUUAAUAAUCAAUAGGAAAACAUCUUAAUAAGCAAAAGCAAUACACACUAAGCAAUUCAUUCAUCUCUCUUUUUGCUAGUCUUGUGCUCUAAGUAGCAAAUCUUAUUCUCGGGAUCAGAAAAUGCUAAGAAUGCCUCUCUGUGAGUUACAUGAGCCUGAAUAUGAGUCAACGAUGCAACGUAUAAAGGCGACCACAUCCUCACACCAGUAAGAUUAUUGAGGACAUUCAUUGAAUAAAACACCGUACUAGUCUUGUCAUCUGAUGGCUGCUUAUUGCAGGUUCGUAGUGCGCUAAGUGAAGGGAUUCUAGCUGCAAGAAUAUCGAACAGGUCGUCUGUAAAAUCAUCAUACAUAUCAGCAAUCAUUUCAGACAUAAGAUAAUCCAUAAGGAUUUUUCCAUAGCUCGCAGAAUUCUCAUCAGACUCCUCCUCUGUUGAAUCAUCAGACAUAUCAUCAUACUCUUCAGAAUCCAAACUGUUUUCCCCAACGCUUGAUCCUUUCGAUCCGCUUGCAUGAUCAUUGUCAACUUCCACUUUAGAAUUAUCCAUAUUACCUUGGUCUAAUAUUUUCUAGCUUCAUGCCAACUCCUAUAAUGAAAUUGAACAAUUCAAUGUUACAAGAGCAUAUCUGUAACAACAAUAAUAAUAAUCUAAGCUAAAAUGAUCAGCAAAACAUGGAAAAUCAGAUCAACGAAAAAACAAAAUCUAGCACUAGAAUUCCAUAAUUUCUGAGGAACAAAUCUAGUCAAAAUCUCAAAAUCCGAUUACCUAGUUUCCGAUAAAUCAUUCAAAUCAAACUGAGAGAAGCAAAAAGAGACGAAGAAGAAGAUAUCAGUACCUAUUUAGAAAUCAGUGGCGAUGGAGAAGCUUUUCUGGGUCCGAGGGUUUUAAGAAUUGGGGCAGGUAGGGCUCUUUUGUGGUUUCCAGAUUAAGGUAAGGGUAUUUUGGUAAAACUCUCAGCUUACAUACUAGUUUGAAUUUAUUUUUGUUUGGAGUAUGAGAAAAAGACACGUACGUCGAGAACCAAAAGACUGGUGUUGAGUGGUAAUACCGGAUAAGGUUUGCAAUUGCAUGGUCGAGGACCUUAGCUUCUUCUUCUUCACAGACACAGAGCGAAUCAUCAUCCAUGGCUGUACGUUGUUUGUUCUCUCCAAAUCUCUUGAACUCCAAGAACAAAGUUUCCGGCAAUAAUCAUCACCUUCCCUUUUCUUCCCUCUCCAAGAAACACCAAGCUUCUUCCGUAUUUUACUUCUUCUCUGCUUUCAACUUUUCUUUUCAUUGCAUGUUUUUUUUUAUUGUUCUGGGUUUGGAUAUGUAAAGAGUCCUCACAAUUUGUUUGGAUCCAAACCCAAUGUUUUAGGCAGCCAUUAAUGGAGGAGGGAGCUCAAAAACAGUGAAGCGUCUGAUCACUUUAUCUCCUAGUGAAGGAAAAUGGAAUGGAAACUGGAACACUCAGUACGAUGUCUCUCUGCGUGAUCUUCACCUUCAAGAUCUUGUUGAAGAUGGCCCUCCCAAUUCCCGUGUCUCUGUCGACCUCUCUGUCCAAAGGGUAACUAUCUUCUACACCACUGUGUUGUGAGCUUAGCUAUGCAUUUAUGGUUUAAUGUGAUGAUGAAGUGACAGUGUUUGAAUAUUAGAAUCUGUCUUCUCUCUUACCCAAUCAAUCAUUUAGUGUUUUUACUUGUCUAGCACGCGAGCAUGGGCCUCUCAGUAGAUGGAAGAAUCAUGACUUCUAUCGCAAGAAAGUGCAGCAUUUGCUCUUCUCUUUAUCCUCGACUGGUAACUGUUUAACUCUAAAGAGGUUUCUUGAAAAACCCUGUUAAGCAUCCGAGAAAAAAACUGUUUUGAUGACCAGAUUGAUACAAGUUUCACUGUCUGGAUUUUGCCAUCAAGCCGGGAAAAUCGAGCUUCAACACUGCCAGAAAUUGGCGGCGAUGAUCCUUCGGUAGAACAUCAUAACCUCUCUCUACAUAUUCUAUCUGCAUCUCACCAAAUUGAGAUGAGUAAAAUCUCCUCUGUUGGCAGGUAAUAUAUGUGAGACCUGGAUAUGAAGCUAACCUUGAUUCCCUUGUACAAGACACUAUCCGACUCACAACUUAUGCUAAAGUAAGAUUCAGUUUCAAAGUUUCAUGUAAUCCAUAAGGCCAAAAUCUGAGAUCGAUUAUGCAUAUAUCUUGCCUUCAUGAAUCUUGCGUGUGGAGUGUACAUGUUUCACUUAAAUUGUUAUUUACUUGUAGGAUAUAUGCUCCGAUUCCUGCGAAAAAUCGGAACCAACACUGCAUUGUAAGCAACAUUCUGUUGGUUUUGUUUCUUUCCUAUUUUCACAUGACAUGUUUGUUAAUUGGUUCAUAAGGAUUAAAGAGUUUUGGUUUUCUCAAUUGCUUUUGCAGACGUUGGUGAGACAAAUACAGCUUCUGUUCAUAAGCGAUGGUCAAGACUACUUGAGCUUAAGAAGAAGUAGAAACCUUUAAAUUCUUUGAAUCUCUCUGUUCAACGUCGUCAAAGUCUCAAAAGAUGUUGAUACUGUUCAUAUUCAAAUAUGUAAUGAUUUUUAUAACAUGUAAAUUUGUGAAAUUGAUGAUGAGGCUAGAACGCUGUCAUAUGACGUUUUGCAAAUAAAAAUCUGUUUCUCUCUUUUGAUUAUUGAUUCUAAAAAAAAAAAUCAUAUGAUGAUCUUACAAAAAAAGCUAUAGCUACUUCAGAUUCACUUUUGAACAUUAUUGUACACCUGGUCUUGAGUUUUAUGACAGUAAAACAGACAAGAUGAAGAAAAAAGAACAAUUGUUGUUGAGUUUAGUUCCUCAGUCCCUCUUUUUGUUGCAUUUGCUCUCUCAGGUUUCCGAGAGGUCCAUAUCCUUUAUCCUUCUCUUCUCUGCCACAAUCACAUUUCCUCUUAUUCAGAUUCGCACCGCAUUUCAAGCACAUUCCUUUACAUGCAGAAUCGCAUAUCGCAGUGAUGGUGAUUUCUAAAUGCACCAAGUCUCUUAUAUGCUUUGAGAUAUCUAUUUCUUUCACCUCAGGUGGAAAAUGAAGCGUAUCCUCCCAAUCUAUCCAUGAAUCAUCAUCAUCAUCAUCUUCGCCUUCUUCUUUAUCAUUCGACAAUCCAGAGAAGGAAUUGGCUUUGUCACCUCCGAAUGUGAAUCCUAGAUCAAUGACAUCGGGUUCUUCAACUGGAUCUUCGGUUAGUAAUAGCGAGAAGUUGGAGAAGAUGCUCUCACCUGUUGACUCACCACAUCUUCAAACACAUAAGAGAAAACCGGUAAAUAACAAAGUUGAUGCAAUCACAGGAUAGUAAAGAAGCUGUGAUUAAGUUCACAAGAAAGCACCUAUUGCAGCCGAGUGUGAUAACAGUCCUGACAAUUCCAUCGAGUCUCAGUUUCUUCUUCUUUCUUAUGACAUCAACCGAAACUUGCACCGGCGUGCCAUCUGGAUAAUCCUUUACAUCUUUUGUCACUCUUAGUCCCAUUGCGGAAGCUCUCUUCUUCGAGACCUCUGUUGACAAUCUUCCCAACCCAAGCCUCUCUAAGGUAGUGCAAUAUUCCACAUGUGUAGCUGAAGCAUUUCUCCUAUACAUAACCGAACCUUCCCAAGGUGACCCAGUAUCCUCAAUUUCCUCCUGAUCUUCCCAAUCCAUAUCUAUUGUGCUGGUCUCUGUAAAAGACUCCUGACUAGCUAAUAUCCGACUCUUUGCUAGCCAACGAAGCUUAAGCGGUUCUGUGAACAAGUAACUGAUAUGCUUCCUGGUAAAAUUAGGGUAGCCGGCGGGAGAGCAUAAACUUAAGGUACAUGUUUCGAGUUUCAGAAAACUUGGACGCGACUGUCUAGUCUGUGAUAAGGGAGCUACACAAGAUGAAGAGCAAACCAGAGACAUUUUCGUAGCGAAGGUUACAACAAGAGGCAAUCUAUCAAGGUUUAUCAAACAAUCAUGCUAAAAUAUGGUAUAAAAUCCAGCCAAAUCCCCAAUAGGAUUGGGUUUGUUGAGCUUGAAACAGAGCAUACAAGAAUUAAACCACCUGCAAGAAACAUUUGCUGAUAUAGUGUCAACAAUAUAAAAGACAGAAAAUCUUGAGAAGUGAAAUAAUCUUCAAUUAUUUUUGAAAAGAAUGAACUGGCUAUCGAGAGCUAAUGUAACUAAAGGAAUUUGAGCUAGGCAUUUCGUCGAACACCUUCUAUGCACCAUUUUAUAUAGAUAAAGGACAGACCUUUCCACUUCCAAUUAACAGCCGCAAACAUCAUGACAGAGACGGAAUCGAGAAACAAGCAAGUAAUUUCGAAUACAAAGAUACAAGAAGGAUUAAUAAAUCGAAAUUACUUACCACUAAGAAGUGCUUUAACGCUUUAGACGAUCGACUCUGUAAAAUUUCUUUCAGAAACAGAGCUCUUCUUUACUCGGAAAUGGCUGCUUAGUUUAUCCUAAAACCUCACCCGGUCAAUUUCGGUUCAAAUACCGGUUUACAUCAAACCAAACCGCGUCCCAAUCAAACCAUGUGACAAAGCAUAUUCUGCCUAGACAGAGAAGAUGGAUUCAUUGUUUGCCAUAUACUUUCUUCUAUGCCAGUUCUACAGAUUCCAAUUUUGUUCUGAUAAGACCUUUGUUUGCUGGAUAUGGCAUUCUUAUGGUAAAAUAAGAAAUUCAAGAUAUUUGAAGUUGGAGUUUCAGAAAGUCUCGGAGAGCAUAUGAGACGCUUCAACUUGGACAUUAUUGAAAAGGUUACUAAUGUUUUUAUCAUCAACUUAUGAAGCUUCAAUUGCUAUUCUCCCACUCUUUGAUCCACUUUCGUGGUUGUUGCUAAGUUCUCUUGUCAUGUUGUAGGCCGGCUUAUGUAUCAGCACAGAGCUAGACUAUGUAUAUGAACUGGUCAGUUGAUUUUACAUUCUGUUUCUCCAUUCUUUAUAAUCCAUGCUUUCCUAAGCUCAGAUCUUGAUGCUUUCAAAAUUGAGGUCUUAACAUCUCACUUUCCUUUCCUUAGAGAAACUUAAAACCUUAAAUGGAAUGAUUAUAUUGUAAAAUCUGAGGCCAUCCUCCAUUUGCAAAAAAAAAUUGAGUGGCUAAAGGAAGCUCAGCUAAGAUUUAUUCUGAAAAAUUCACAAUUUUAAGGUUAUUCAGAAGUUGGAUAACCCAACAUUUGAGAAACUGGGUUAAACAAAUUCAGCAGGCCUUUGACUGAGAGAUGUGUAUGACUACUGUUUUUCAGUAACAACAGACUUUAACUCCACAGGUCAUUGGAGUCAUUGAUGUAACUAGAAGCAAAGAGAGGGGAUAUCAAACAUUGGUGAAAGAAGGGUUCUGUGCUGAGGUUAUCAUAGAAGUUCAUUUUGUUCAGGUUGUCAUACCACUAAUCUUUUGUUAUCUUGCAAGUAACUCAUUUCUUAUUUUACCAGUUGGAUGAGCUGAGGCAAAUAUACGAGGAGUUGCCAGAGUUUCUGCAGGAGGUUUGUUCUAUGUGAUAAGUUCCUUUAAUUGAUAAAUGAAGGCAAACUGGAAUCUCUCUUGAAUGAUUCUAAUUACUGACAGGUUUCAGCGAAGGAGUUAGAACACUUUCCUCAUUCGCAUAAGGAAAAGCUUCCUCCUUGUAUCGUCUAUAUAUUCAACAAAUUGGUGGGUCUGAAGUUUCACGUUUUAGCUUUCGCAUAAGUUCUAUACAGUGUUAUAUACUAGCUAUUUUUUAACAUAAUUACCUUUUGGAAUUUCAUCUCAUCCCUAAGAAAGGUGAGAUUUAGCUGCACGAAUUCAUUUUUGGGAACCACAUGUCCUGGAAUUAUCAGCUCAACUAUGGUGUCUAUGCUUCUUGAUUGCUCAAUAGCCUUUCACUCUACGAUGCGUCUCUUACAAAUCACGACCACAUGUAUUUCUUCACACUUUGAUAACAGUUAUUUUGUUUCUGUAAAUGAAUAUAUAGUUUUUAAAUGAAUAUUGGUAAUCAAUAUUCAAAAGCUGCGGAUAUCACAUAUCAUUUCUAGUCUCUCCUCUUAAAGAAAAGCAACACUUGUUCGCGUUCCUACUAACUAAUUAGCUAUUUAUGAGAAAUGACUUAUUCAUUCUUCUUGGUUUUUCAAGCAUUUUAUCGUUGGCUUGUGUAUCCCAUCAGAAUAACUACGUAAGGCCUGUCCUGACAAUAGAAUCAUUGCUUGUAAUUCGAAAUGGAAGGUGAAGUUGACUCUGUCAGCUGCACUUAUCUCUUGUUGUUGCAUUUAUAAAUAAACUCCUUACGGAAAAUUAUAUCUGUAAAAAUCAGUACUGGUGGGCAGGCAUAUAUUGCAGGAAAUGGCUGUGGAUACAUUUAUCCCGAGCGACACUGAAAUCAAUGAUAAUGGUGAGCUGAUUGUUGAUUGAAUUGUUUUGACUAUAUAUAGGCGUGCAUUACAACUUAAACUUGUGAACUAGUCUUAUUUCUCUUCGUCCAACCAAAUUGUACUUCGCCAUCAUGAAUUGACAACUCAAGUUCUGACUUGCUAUUUGUAGGUGGCUUUACUUGUUUUCCUAUCCCAUAUUGGAAGCUUUGUACCAGCAGAUGCAACAACUAUUGGUUUAACUGACAGGUCUUAACGUCAUGCAUUAUUUUUUAUCCUUUUUACAAUCGCUUUUUAUGUAUAUUUUCGUUACUAAGAUUAGUCGUACUACAACAAGAUCUUUUGUGCAAUGGGAAGCAAGUUCAUGACUGCGGAGCAAUCUACAUUUAUGAAAGAUCUGCAUCAGGGAGGAAUGAUGCUCAGGUAUUCCAAACUGCUUCUAUUUUUAACUUGAUUUCAAGCAGCUCCACUACUGAUAGGCCUUGUGAGCCGGUCUCAAUCGCUUCAGUCAGUUAGUGACUUCUAGUUCACGAGCUCCAUUAUUUAAGUUCAUGGGGACCAAAGAAUGAAAAUAUCAAUCAAAAUUCAACUGUGCAUUGUUCAUGACUUAUGAUCGUGUUCCUAAUCAUUGUGACUGAUUUGAAUUCUCUAGGCAGGCAACUUCAAGAUCUGUGUGUCUAUUAGACGAGUUUGGUAAAGGCACUCUAACAGAAGGUGAAGAUUUCUCCACCCUCUGCAUUGGAUAAAAGGCAUGUGUUUGUGAAAACUUCUGCCUUACCCACACUCUUAUUUGAAGUACAGAUGGUAUUGGCUUGCUUGGUGGGAGAAUUAUUUCAUACGAGAAUGGAUGAGUGCCCAAAAUGAAACUAUUUAACCCAAAAUAUUAAUUAUAUAUUUUGGACUGAUAAAAAGUAACUGAAAAUAUGAAAAAAAAUAAACAAUUAAAAACUCGAAAAUAUCAUUUAUUGUUAUACCGAAAUAACUAAAAUACUUAAAAUAAGCAAAAUAUCUUCGAACCAAAUUUUAUACAAAUUUAACCAUUUUUUUAAUUUAUUUCGAUAAUUCUAAAAUAAAUGGAUCCGAACCUCGAACAAAAAGUUUAAAAUAUUUGAAAGGGUUAUAGAUGCUUCAAUCUAAAAUAAAUGGUACCGAACGGGUGAAGUCAAUGUUUAUAGUAAAGAUAUAUGUGUCGGUUUCGGAAGCAUUAAGUUUUUAAGUUGGUCAGAGAACAUACAAAUUUGUGGGGUUUAAUUAUGUUUAUUGUUUUGUGUUAUUGUUUGUAUAAAAAAAACAGUACGAGUAAGAAUGGAAAACAGUUUGCGGAGUAAUAAUUAUCAAGAAAAAAAGAAGAUGUUAAUAAUUGUGGAUAAUAUAUAACCGUCUAUAUAGAUACUAAGCAAGCUUUUGUAAAAAGAGCUGAAGUAAUAAUAGUGGAUAAUACAUAACCGACCGUCUAUAUAGAUCCUAAAUAAGUUUUUCUAGAAAGAGCUGAAGUUAUAACUGUGGAUAUAUAUAUAUAUAUAAGUUUUUGUUAGCUAUCCGGGAUCACUAUUGGAUGAUCUUCAUCUUUCUCCGAAUUAUACUCUUCUUUCUAGAAAGAGGUGGAGAAAAGUGAACUCUAGACGAUGCGGUAGUGCACGACAGCCAAGAUUCCAUGGCUGUCAGGGAGAAAAGGAAACAAGUAGUUAGUAUUAAAAAUAGGUAUAUAACAAAAUUGUUUUUUUGGGAAACUUACCGCUGAGACUUGCGGUGGUCCCUCCGCCGGUAUGCUUCAUUCACAAAAUUGGUACUCUCCGUAUACCUCACACCAUCCAGGGUCCCUCUAUGUGGAUUUCCACCGUCAAAGUGUUGCCAAAGCCUAAAGGGAAAAAGUUAAAUAAGUCUGUAGGAAGAAUAGUAUGAAAUUAUGUGAGAGUAUACAUGAAACUUACAUAUCAUCUCUGUAGGCCUCGACAUUGUAAAGAAACAGUCCUAUACUUCCGUUUCGGGCAGAAGGUGUAGACACAGUCAGAGAGUUAGCAUUCUGAAGAAUCAGGUUAAGCUCAUGGCCGGUUAACCACCGGUUUCGAGAAUCAGUCAUUAUCUGACCCACAACAUCUACACAUGAAUAUCAAACAUGGAUAAAUCAAACUAUAUCAGGAAAUCAUUUCAUGAAUUUCAAAUUUCAGAACAACAAUGAAACUAUAUCAUGAAUCGGAAUCAGGUUAAGCUCAUGGCCGGUUAACCACCGAUUUCGAGAAUCAGUCACUAUCUGACCCACAACAUCUACACAUGAAUAUCAAACAUGGAUAAAUUCAAACUAUAUCAUGAAAUCAUUUCAUGAAUUUCAAAUUUCAGAACAACAAUAAAACUAUAUCAUGAAUCGGAAUCAAAUCAGACUAUCAAACUUAAUUUCAUGCAACGAAAUGAAGCUAUCAAACUUAAACUCAGGAAUAAUUUCAUGAAACUGAACCGGAAACAAAUGAUUAAAGCAUAUGCUUCUUUAAGCGCAUUUAUCAAUAAAAAAGAAACAAAAAGGUUAGAAGUUAUCCAUUGAUCUUGUGAAAGAAUAGGCAAUUAGUGUCAAAACUUGCUAAAUGGCCUCCUUAUAAAAACAAGAAAUGAGAUAAAAAAAUUCACUUGUGCUAUCUCAAUUGAUUCCCAGUUGUGCUGGGUCUGGGCCUUAACAAAGUUGAUCCAGUUACAAAAGAAGCAAAUCGGGAAAACAAUCGGAAAACGGGAAAAAAGCUCCGACCCUGUUGUAUCACCGGAAGCAGAUUGUCGCAGCACUAAUUCCGGCGGGAUUCAAGCUCCACGGCUUUGCGAAGGCACCGAAGGAUUAGAACCAACAACAGAAGAACCCGAUUUCCGUCGUCGAUCCUUUUCCGACGAGCCACCAUACCCACUACGGAACUCCCAGAAUGCACAACAUCCAACAUCCGGCAUCGACGUUCUCAGAUCCCGACCAAGCAACCUGAGAAGCUCAGACCAAACCCCUCUCUCCCAUUUCCGAAAAUCCCCAAUCUUCCCCGAGCAGAACCCAAUCAAACCGGUCCGGUGGAAACAAAUCGCGGAAGAAACAAAUAGCUGACGGCUCACUCAAGCCCACCUGAAUCCUGAAUCCGCGACCGCCAUCUUAGAUCCGCAAAGAUCUACAGUUAACCACGCCGACGAACAACGCUACCCACCUCUCUCCCAUCGGCUUCCGCCGUAGCCACCACGCUAGAUGAGCGGUUGAGCCGCGAAAAGACUCCAAGCACCUCACCGGCGUCCUCAACCGAGAGGCCCUGCUACGAAGCUUCUCUUCCGUCAAACCAGAACCAUAGCUACGCCGGCCUAAUUAUAUUUGUAAACAGAAUUGUUUUAAAAGGGCUAAGGAUCCUUUAAAAAUAGGCAAAAGCCCAUGAGCCCAUCUUGGCUUUGUUCCCUAAUUAGAUUUUCGUAAAAUAAAAGAAAGAUAACAUCUUUCAUAUCCACCCACACACCUUCGUCUUCUUCUCCUCUCGAACAUAUCUGAAAAAUAAUGCCGUGUUCUAAACUUUCGAAUUUGGCACUCUCUUUCGAUUCCGAUGGGCUGCGUCCUCCAAAAACGCCGUUCAGCCGCUGCGUUAUAGUCGUCUGUCGAUGUUCAGGCCAAUGGCGCCGAUCAUUUUCUCUAUUCGCGGAGAGUCAUCGUUCAUCGUCGAUGUCACCGUAAGUAAUUUGUUUUUACUUUUUCUUUUUUUACCCCACAGAUAAGUUUGGGUGCACUGUAUCUACACUAGGUUGUUCCUAUGGGAUUUUUGCUCAUUUCAAAUUUUUUCACAUCCGAAAGAUUUUCCCUCUUCUCUUUAAAUAUCUCCCUCUUCUCCUAAAAACUUUCUAAACUUUCUCAUUUUAAUCCAUCUGAAUUCUCUCCAGCAGAUUCUAAUUUCUUCCUCUACUCCUCUCAACAAUGGCGGCACCAAAUCCUCCUCCUCAUAUUGGCCCUAUUGGCCCUCUCCGUAGACCAGGCUGGUACAAUCUCCAGACAAUCCAUGAAAAUCACGGUAUGGCUAUCUAAACAUUCUUUCCGAUUCAUNNNNNNNNNNNNNNNNNNNNNNNNNNNNNNNNNNNNNNNNNNNNNNNNNNNNNNNNNNNNNNNNNNNNNNNNNNNNNNNNNNNNNNNNNNNNNNNNNNNNNNNNNNNNNNNNNNNNNNNNNNNNNNNNNNNNNNNNNNNNNNNNNNNNNNNNNNNNNNNNNNNNNNNNNNNNNNNNNNNNNNNNNNNNNNNNNNNNNNNNNNNNNNNNNNNNNNNNNNNNNNNNNNNNNNNNNNNNNNNNNNNNNNNNNNNNNNNNNNNNNNNNNNNNNNNNNNNNNNNNNNNNNNNNNNNNNNNNNNNNNNNNNNNNNNNNNNNNNNNNNNNNNNNNNNNNNNNNNNNNNNNNNNNNNNNNNNNNNNNNNNNNNNNNNNNNNNNNNNNNNNNNNNNNNNNNNNNNNNNNNNNNNNNNNNNNNNNNNNNNNNNNNNNNNNNNNNNNNNNNNNNNNNNNNNNNNNNNNNNNNNNNNNNNNNNNNNNNNNNNNNNNNNNNNNNNNNNNNNNNNNNNNNNNNNNNNNNNNNNNNNNNNNNNNNNNNNNNNNNNNNNNNNNNNNNNNNNNNNNNNNNNNNNNNNNNNNNNNNNNNNNNNNNNNNNNNNNNNNNNNNNNNNNNNNNNNNNNNNNNNNNNNNNNNNNNNNNNNNNNNNNNNNNNNNNNNNNNNNNNNNNNNNNNNNNNNNNNNNNNNNNNNNNNNNNNNNNNNNNNNNNNNNNNNNNNNNNNNNNNNNNNNNNNNNNNNNNNNNNNNNNNNNNNNNNNNNNNNNNNNNNNNNNNNNNNNNNNNNNNNNNNNNNNNNNNNNNNNNNNNNNNNNNNNNNNNNNNNNNNNNNNNNNNNNNNNNNNNNNNNNNNNNNNNNNNNNNNNNNNNNNNNNNNNNNNNNNNNNNNNNNNNNNNNNNNNNNNNNNNNNNNNNNNNNNNNNNNNNNNNNNNNNNNNNNNNNNNNNNNNNNNNNNNNNNNNNNNNNNNNNNNNNNNNNNNNNNNNNNNNNNNNNNAGAGUACAAUUUUGUGAAUGAAGCAUCCGGCGGAGGGUCACCGCAGGUCUCAGCGGUAAGUUCCCAAAAAAACAAUUUUGUUAUAUACCUAUUUUUAAUACUAACUACUUGUUUCCUUUUCUCCCUGACAGCCAUGGAAUCUUGGCUGUCGUGCACUACCGCAUCGUCUAGAGUUCACUUUUCUCCACCUCUUUCUAGAAAGAAGUGUAUAAUUCGGAGAAAGAUGAAGAUCAUCCAAUAGUGAUCUACGGAUAGCUAACAAAAACUUGUGGAUAUAUAUAUAUAUAUAUAUAUAUAUAUAUAGAGAUAUAUAUCCACAGUUAUAACUUCAGCUCUUUCUAGAAAAACUUAUUUAGGAUCUAUAUAGACGGUCAGUUAUGUAUUAUCAACUAUUAUUACUUCAGCUCUUUUUACAAAAGCUUGCUUAGUAUCUAUAUAGACGGUUAUAUAUUAUCCACAAUUAUUAACAUCUUCUUUUUUUCUUGAUAAUUAUUACUCCGCAAACUGUUUUCCAUUCUUACUCGUAUUGUUUUUUUUAUACAAACAAUAACACAAAACAAUAAACAUAAUUAAACCCCACAAAUUUGUAUGUUCUCUGACCAACUUAAAAACUUAAUGCUUCCGAAACCGACACAUAUAUCUUUACUAUAAACAUUGACUUCACCCGUUCGGUACCAUUUAUUUUAGAUUGAAGCAUCUAUAACCCUUUCAAAUAUUUUAAACUUUUUGUUCGAGGUUCGGAUCCAUUUAUUUUAGAAUUAUCGAAAUAAAUUAAAAAAAUGGUUAAAUUUGUAUAAAAUUUGGUUCGGAGAUAUUUUGCUUAUUUUAAGUAUUUUAGUUAUUUCGGUAUAACAAUAAAUGAUAUUUUCGAGUUUUUAAUUGUAUUUUUUUUUCAUAUUUUCAGUUACUUUUUAUCAGUCCAAAAUAUAUAAUUAAUAUUUUGGGUUAAAUAGUUUCAUUUUGGGCACCCAUCCAUUCUCGUAUGAAAUAAUUCUCCCACCAAGCAAGCCAAUACCAUCUGUACUUCAAAUAAGAGUGUGGGUAAAGCAGAAGUUUUCACAAACACAUGCCUUUUAUCCAAUGCAGAGGGUGGAGAAAUCUUCACCUUCUGUUAGAGUGCCUUUACCAAACUCGUCUAAUAGACACACAGAUCUUGAAGUUGCCUGCCUAGAGAAUUCAAAUCAGUCACAAUGAUUAGGAACACGAUCAUAAGUCAUGAACAAUGCACAGUUGAAUUUUGAUUGGUAUUUUCAUUCUUUGGUCCCCAUGAACUUAAAUAAUGGAGCUCGUGAACUAGAAGUCAUUAACUGACUGAAGCGAUUGAGACCGGCUCACAAGGCCUAUCAGUAGUGGAGCUGCUUGAAAUCAAGUUAAAAAUAGAAGCAGUUUGGAAUACUUGAGCAUCAUUCCUCCCUGAUGCAGAUCUUUCAUAAAUGUAGAUUGCUCCGCAGUCAUGAACUUGCUUCCCAUUGCACAAAAUAUCUUGUUGUAGUACGACUAAUCUUAGUAACGAAAAUAUACAUAAAAAGCGAUUGUAAAAAGGAUAAAAAAUAAUGCAUGACGUUAAGACCUNNNNNNNNNNNNNNNNNNNNNNNNNNNNNNNNNNNNNNNNNNNNNNNNNNNNNNNNNNNNNNNNNNNNNNNNNNNNNNNNNNNNNNNNNNNNNNNNNNNNNNNNNNNNNNNNNNNNNNNNNNNNNNNNNNNNNNNNNNNNNNNNNNNNNNNNNNNNNNNNNNNNNNNNNNNNNNNNNNNNNNNNNNNNNNNNNNNNNNNNNNNNNNNNNNNNNNNNNNNNNNNNNNNNNNNNNNNNNNNNNNNNNNNNNNNNNNNNNNNNNNNNNNNNNNNNNNNNNNNNNNNNNNNNNNNNNNNNNNNNNNNNNNNNNNNNNNNNNNNNNNNNNNNNNNNNNNNNNNNNNNNNNNNNNNNNNNNNNNNNNNNNNNNNNNNNNNNNNNNNNNNNNNNNNNNNNNNNNNNNNNNNNNNNNNNNNNNNNNNNNNNNNNNNNNNNNNNNNNNNNNNNNNNNNNNNNNNNNNNNNNNNNNNNNNNNNNNNNNNNNNNNNNNNNNNNNNNNNNNNNNNCCAUUUUCCUGCAAUAUAUGCCUGCCCACCCAGUACUGAUUUUUUACAGAUAUAAUUUUCCGUAAGGAGUUUAUUUAUAAAUGCAACAACAAGAGAUAAGUGCAGCUGACAGAGUCAACUUCACCUUCCAUUUUCGAAUUACAAGCAAUGAUUCUAUUGUCAGGACAGGCCUUACGUAGUUAUUCUGAUGGGAUACACCAGCCAACGAUAAAAUGCUUGAAAAACCAAGAAGAAUGAAUAAGUCAUUUCUCAUAAAUAGCUAAUUAGUUAGUAGGAACGCGAACAAGUGUUGCUUUUCUUUAAGAGGAGAGACUAUAAAUGAUAUGUGAUAUCCGCAGCUUUUGAAUAUUGAUUACCAAUAUUCAUUUAAAAACUAUAUAUUCAUUUACAGAAACAAAAUAACUGUUAUCAAAGUGCGAAGAAAUACAUGUGGUCGUGAUUUGUUAGAGACGCAUCUAAAAUUUGGUGCCGCCAUUGUUGAGAGGAGUAUAGGAAGAAAUUAGAAUCUGCUGGAGAGAAUUCAGAUGGAUUAAAAUGAGAAAGUUUAGAAAGUUUUUAGGAGAAGAGAGGGAGAUAUUUAAAGAGAAGAGGGAAAAUCUUUCGGAUGUGAAAAAAUUUGAAAUGGGCAAAAAUCCCAUAGGAACAACCUAGUGUAGAUACAGUGCACCCAAACUUAUCUGUGGGGUAAAAAAAGAAAAAGUAAAAACAAAUUACUUACGGUGACAUCGACGAUGAACGAUGACUCUCCGCGAAUAGAGAAAAUGAUCGGCUCCAUUGGCCUGAACAUCGACGGACGACUAUAACGCAGCGGCUGAACGGCGUUUCUGGAGGACGCAGCCCAUCGGAAUCGAAAGAGAGUGCCAAAUUCGAAAGUUUAGAACACGGCAUUAUUUUUCAGAUCUGUUCGAGAGGAGAAGAAGACGAAGGUGUGUGGGUGGAUAUGAAAGAUGUUAUCUUUCUUUUAUUUUACGAAAACCUAAUUUGGGAACAAAGCCAAGAUGGGCUCAUGGGCUUUUGCCUAUUUUUAAAGGAUCCUUAGCCCUUUUAAAACGAUUCUGUUUACAAAUAUAAUUAGGCCGGCGUAGCUAUGGUUCUGGUUUGACGGAAGAGAAGCUUCGUAGCAGGGCCUCUCGGUUGAGGACGCCGGUGAGGUGCUUGGAGUCAUUUCGCGGCUCAACCGCUCAUCUAGCGCGGUGGCUACGGCGGAAGCCGAUGGGAGAGAGGUGGGUAGCGUUGUUCGUCGGCGUGGUUAACUGUAGAUCUUUGCGGAUCUAAGAUGGCGGUCGCGGAUUCAGGAUUCAGGUGGGCUUGAGUGAGCCGUCAGCUAUUUGUUUCUUCCGCGAUCUGUUUCCACCGGACCGGUUUGAUUGGGUUCUGCUCGGGGAAGAUUGGGGAUUUUCGGAAAUGGGAGAGAGGGGUUUGGUCUGAGCUUCUCAGGUUGCUUGGUCGGGAUCUGAGAACGUCGAUGCCGGAUGUUGGAUGUUGUGCAUUCUGGGAGUUCCGUAGUGGGUAUGGUGGCUCGUCGGAAAAGGAUCGACGACGGAAAUCGGGUUCUUCUGUUGUUGGUUCUAAUCCUUCGGUGCCUUCGCAAAGCCGUGGAGCUUGAAUCCCGCCGGAAUUAGUGCUGCGACAAUCUGCUUCCGGUGAUACAACAGGGUCGGAGCUUUUUUCCCGUUUUCCGAUUGUUUUCCCGAUUUGCUUCUUUUGUAACUGGAUCAACUUUGUUAAGGCCCAGACCCAGCACAACUGGGAAUCUAUUGAGAUAGCACAAGUGAUUUUUUAUCUCAUUUCUGUUUUAUAAGGAGGUCAUUUAGCAAGUUUUGAUACUAUUUGCCUAUUCUUUCACAAGAUCAAUGGAUAACUUCUAACCUUUUUGUUUCUUUUUUAUUGAUAAAUGCGCUUAAAGUUUUAAGAGUUAUUUAAAAAAAAGACAUUAAAACACAACUGUUUUUCGGUUUUCGGCACUUUCCAACUGCUUUCACGAUUUAGGCAUCCAAAGCUAGCAAUAAACGUACGACACACCAAUAAUACAAUAAUAACCGAUAAAAUUAUCGCAACUCUAGCAAUUUCUUAACCGCCCAUAAAAGUUCAACAUUAUUUUUAUCUAAUAUGUGUUUUGUUUUAACGUACGACACACCAAUAAUACAAUACUAACCGAUAAAAUGAAACAUGGCAAUUUCCAUUAGGAUUUAUAUUGAUCCAUAGAAUGGAACUUAGGCUUGUAUUAAUUUUUAGACAUUAAGGUUGUGGGUUUCUUGUAAAGAAAAUAUAAUGCUCAAGGGGCUAAGAAAUUUGUCUUCAGAGGUUUUUGGAUCGUGUAUAGAUCCUUGAAUUAGUGAAUUUUCUGAGUAUAUUUUUGCGUCUUUAAAAUUUUUUCCUUAAUCCGUAUUGUCCUUCUUUGUAUCCGAAACUUUUUCAACGCCUUAGACACUAGACAAAUAUGUUAUCACAGUCAUUGACCGAUGCAGAUCCAAGUAAUUAUUGCUUAGUGUUCCCACCUCCAUUUCUAAAUCCAAACGUUAAGUAACAACAAUCUUAAACUGGAUUUUGAACCAUACUUUUUGUAAUGGGUUUUCAAGUAUUGCAAGUAGUGGAAGUUGUAAUGCGAGAGAGUGAGGAACAUGGUGAUUCUGGGAAUCAAUUGAGAUAGCACAAGUGAAUUUUUUUUAUCUCAUUUCUUGUUUUUAUAAGGAGGCCAUUUAGCAAGUUUUGACACUAAUUGCCUAUUCUUUCACAAGAUCAAUGGAUAACUUCUAACCUUUUUGUUUCUUUUUUAUUGAUAAAUGCGCUUAAAGUUUUAACCUUCUUUUCUCUUUUUUUUUUUUUUUUGCAAUGUCUUACUAAUACUUGCUCACAUGAACCUUUGUGUUGCGUAGAUGAUCUUCGUUACGUAUGUCAUAAGGUUUUGUUUUAGAAAAAGGUGACUUGGGAAAAUUUACGACUAGAAAUGUAUUUGAAAGAUUGACCCUUAAACGUAGACCUUUAGUAAGGUUUGAGCUAGAGAUAGUAACUAUUCGUGAGAAAGAAGUCGUUUGUUUAGAAAACGUUAGUUUAUAUUUACUUAAAAAAUGUAGUUGAUGGAUCAAACUUUCGGCAAAUUAAAGAUUUGGCUUCUUCCAUGGCUUUCUUGAAUAAUGCGGCGGAUGUAUUGCUACUAAAGUGGUCAGCUUGGAGAGUGUUACAGAAAAUAGAAACUGUAACAUUCUUUCGAGCACAUGAAACAAAAAUCUUCAUACUCUACUCUCACGAAAGUGUUUUCCCGGAGGAGAGAAAAGAGAUUUGGUAAAUUAUAAUACUUAUUGUUUUGUUUUGUCUAUUUAGUUAUUUAAACUGUAAAAUUUUAAAAUAGGUCAUUUACAUUGUAAAACAAAGCAAAGGUGAAAAAGAAGAAGUAAAUAAUAACAAAGAAAAUGAAAGGUGCGGAUCGGAUGUAAUAAGCUUUUUAUUUUACUUUUAUAACGACACAUAAUAACAAGAGGAUCAAAAGUUGAAUAAUCACUACAGUAGAUAUAAAUUUUGAUUAAUUUUUAUUUAACAAAUGAUCUGAUUCUGUUGACUUUUUAAAUUAACCGAGUUAUACAAUUCCGCUUAGAGAAAUUAUAUAUAUAAUUAAAUAAAAUAAUCGAUUUAUUUAUUUCUUUGAAUGGUUUGAUUUAGUUAGUUAAAAUUUUAAAAAUGUACUUAGUGUUAAAAAAAAAAAUGUAAAAACGAUGCUCCUUUGGAAACUAGUUUUUUACUUACAACAACAUUCGUCGUCAAGCGUCAGAGAAGAGAAGAGAAGGUUUCUGAAGACAAGCAAGUCGGUGGUCUCAGCUCGUUUGACCGAGCCAAGAGGCGGCGGAGCUCGUGACCUUAGAGACGACGGAGCCAAUGAGCCUAGGGUUUCCGACGAGCUUGGCGAGCAGAAGUCAUUGGAGACUUCGGAGUCUUCUCCUACUCCUUGUACUGACUAAGACGUUGCCUAUUUUCAUUCAUAUGCUCACGUUGGGAUUCACGAAGAGAUUAUCAAGGUACUCUCUUUCGCUUCUUCUUCUCCCUUAUGCCUUAUCAUAUUUAGGGUUGAAUUUCUCUUUGGUUUUGGGGAGUAUCGGAUUGUCUAGUCAAUCUUCGAACUUGCUUCAAUUGAUGUUUUGAAAAAUCAUUACUGGGUAUGUUAAUUUGAUGUAUAUAAUUUCUUGUUCUUGAACCAAAUUGGCUUUUCCAGUUCGAAAUUGCUCAAAAAGAAAACGUCCAGAAUUUUGGCUGAAAAUUUGUUCUGAUAUAUCAUCAAUUUAGGAUGUUUUGUGUCUUACCUUUUGAAAUCGUUCAUAUUUUUCUCUUCCCUGGGAUUUCUCACUUCUUUGCGGAUUGUCCUUGGUUGAUAUAGGAUCGGGCAAAGGAUGGAAACUUUUUGGGGAAGCCAUAAUGCAGCAUCAGAGCUUAAUCCAAGGCAAGGUAAUACUCUCGUUGCUGUAGUUUCCGAACCAUGCUCCUUUAUCUUCACAAAUGAUAUUGAAGAAGAUUUGAAUUGGGACUGUUGUUUACUUUUUUGCUUCCCCUGUCUUUAUGACGUGGUAGUUUAUUAUUUGGUUUGAAAAACCUAUUGCUGCAUUGAUUGCUUGUAACAGGUUGUGGAACAUGCAUCCUUUCAAUCUUCUGUUCUCAAGCGGGAGCAAAACGGGUAUGAGUUUGUUAUCUGUGUACACAACUUAUGUAUUGAUGUUGAUUUCAAUACCUCUUGUUCACAAAAGAUAUGAAACAUUGUGAAUAAUGUAGCUUUUAUACCAAGGAUAUUAAGGCUGUUUCUAUGUGUCUGUAUAUUCCAUAGACCACGGGGGUUACAUGUUUUCUUACAAAACUUCAUAUAUGCUGUAGAUGCAAGUGAUAUAGCUGUCCAGGUAUUAAAAAAAAAAACAAAUCCAGUAAUUUGAACAUUAGGAUUGCUCUUGAUCUUCUCCCCCCUUAGCUUCUAUUUUCCACCUAAAUUCGUGAACUGAUUAGACUGGCCAUUCUUACAUCAUAAACUUGGGGGAUUUUAAAACUUCACCAAAACAUGUUUUCAUAGGUUAAAUUUGAAACUUGGAAUAUAGAAGGAUUUUCUUCGAUAGAAUGUGUUGCAUGUUCCCUUUGGUGGGGGUAUGUUUAGGGUAUGAUGACUGUUUGUCUUAUUGUCCUAAGUGCUACGCUUUAAAUGUUCACAGUUAAGUUGACCCAUGCUUCCUUUAUAUCAUUUAGUUUUAGUCUAAAAUUUAAGUCUCUGCAUUACUUCAUGGCUUGACCACCCUUGAAGAAAUUCCUGCAAAUGUUUCUGAUAUAUUUGGUCCUGUGAAGCUGAUCCAACUAAGAGAGAAUUUAUUGCGAAUCUGGUGCUUUAGCUCUGCACGUGUUUUUUCAUUUGGUUUUGUUCCCUAUCAAAAUAGAAGUUGUUUUGUG